rnacentral:lncRNA from 1 species
GAGAACAUCCUUGGAGGCAGGUAGGUGCAUGCCGAGGUCUAGAAGAAAUACAUAUCACACUUUAGUCCCCAUACGCAAAAAUAUGCAUGUGCAUUGCAACGGGAAUAAAAGAAUAUCCCGGCUGAAUCCUUCUUCAUGGAAAAUUCUAAAGAAUUCUUGGCAUUGGGUAAUUACACAUGAAAAAAUCCUAAGGAUUGAAAUAGAGAGGGCUUAUAAAUCAUUUACAUUUGUAGUUCUUUGAUUUGGAAGUUUCAUAAAUCGAGUGAACACUAAAAUUAUAAGAGCUAUGGAUUGAAGGUUGAUUGAUAUUUCCAAUGGUCAAGCAAGUCAAUGAAGACGACAUUAUGUGGAUGGUCAGGUUACAUAUCUAAACACAACCUUUUUAGUUGGCGUUAGUAUUUGGAGUGCCUCAAAAACGACACCUUAACACCAAAGGACGAAGUGAAUAUUUUUUGGGGGGGAUCCCAUGUGCUUCGCUCCGAGCGUUCUUCCCAUCCGCCGAACCCAAGGCACAAAGAUGGGUGACAUGAUGGUCACGGCAGAGCACAUCCGCAUGUGCCCGUGCAUUGAGUAGCGGAAGGUGAAGGGAGUGUGUGAGACUUCCGUUGCUGCUAGGGUUUGAGAGAGAAGGAAUAUUUGGAUAAUAACUAAAUGUUGAUCUGGUUACACCCCAAACAGAUCAUAUUCAACUAUUUUAAUGAGAAGAUGAGCUAGACAUUGACAUAUGUGAUAUGGACAGGAAAUUUGAAACAUUAAAGAAAAAAAUGCUGCAAUAAUUAUAAGAACAGAACAUUCCCAAGGAUAUUUUUUGAAUUACCUACUUUAUAAAAUGAUAUCAAUGACCUUAAUGUAAACAACAUGUCUUAGAAUAGUUUUCUACAGAAAACAUGUCUUAAAAUAGUUCAUGGCCAUGGGCUGCAAAAAAAACAUAUGUAAAACAGAUCCCUUCCAAGGUUCAAACGGUUCUUUGAACCAUCUAUCACAAUGAAAAUUUGCAUAAUCUAGGGCAGCACGCGGCAUACGUCUAGCUAAUAUGACUCAUAUGGAACAAUAAAUCAUUUUUGUAUGUUGAUGAAUGAAGAAAAUAAUCAAACUGAAAUUCUAUUUAUAUUGAACACUCAAUUCCAUCUCGGUAAAAGUGAAAACUGAAAUUCAAUGCACUUCAUUGCUACGAUGAGCUUUACAUGUAUUUUUCUUCAUAAUGUACUCUUCCUCAUAGCAACAUCACAUGCUGGAAACGGAUUCCUCUGCCUUGCCAGUCAAAACUGCAGCCUUCUUGCUACUGUUGCUUCCAUAGACAGAUACUAAGUGUACCAAACAAUUGCCACAACGAGCGGAUAAACUUUACAUAAGUAGGAAAAGUGUUUCAUGGGGGAGAAGAAACUAAGAUGUGCUCUCUAUGGUGUCAACCAUCCCAAGCUUUUGAGUCAGGCUCGCAGCCAAGUGUGCAGCUCGUGGAUUGUGUGGUUGCAGGAUCUGAUGAAGUCGCCCGCCUUGCCAUUGAAACUCCUACUGUUUCUCUCCUUCAAAUUCCUCCACCAAAAUAAGCAUGCAAACGGCCCAGAAAUCUUUAUGACGAUGCUAGCGAUGUUGUAAAGAAUAUUUAGCUAUCACUGUAGCAGGGAAUGAGUGUCAUAGCUCGGCUGUAGGUUGAAAUGAUAACUGAAUUUGAUCGGAAAGAAUCCCUAAACAGCAGCAGAAAAGGGGAAGGUUGCAAAUAAGUGUACAAUACACUCAAGGCGCAUAAUCCCGUUUGUUGAUGGAUUUGCCAACCCUAUGUCCUUGGGAAGGAACCAUGUGAGCUGAUUGUGUGGUGCACAAUGGAUCAACCACCACUGCUGAAUAUGCUUCUUCUCGACCAACAUCUCGUGCAUCUCGACCAGCAUCCGCCUUCGGCGCGCCUUCCCCGACCACGGCAGCCGCCCCCUCUACCUCAGCAACAACAUGCACCUUUUCUAAGGCCUUCUUCAUGCUCGCAUUAGAAUUUCCUAUGUGAAGCAAGUUAACACUAGCUUCACAAAAAAUUCCUAGCUCAACUAAUUUGCAUAAACCAUGAAAUCUAAAGUUCUAUGUGUUAGGCUGAAAAAAAUAACACAUCAGGACUCCAGAAAGAAUGAUAGUUUGAUGUUUAAACUAAUUCGUUAAGAAUGGAGUGCAUUCAAAUGGAAAAAUGAAUCGCAUAAAAGACUACUUACCUUCUUCCAGUAGUACAGAAGCACAUGAUAUUCAGUUCAGGGAGGGUGAGGCAUCACCCACCGUAUUUUUUUCAGGGACUACAGUGUGCUUAAGCUAGCCUGGACCACUUCAUAAAAUUGAGAACUAUACAAAGCCAAAUUAUACACUGGGAUUAAUAAAAAAGAAAAGGAAGGCAAAAAAUAGAAUCUCAUAGAUAGGUGAUACAACAUAGUGCUCCAAUCCGUAGAGAGCCCUCUCUUAAUUCCAUUUGAAUACCUGUUGGACCACAACAUAAGAUCAUCAGCAAUCUUGCUAGCAGUAAUGUGCAAUUCCACAGAAAAACAUCAGGGAAGAGCUUGUAGUUCCUGUGCCUCCAUAUAUUCCAGAGGACCGCGAUAAGCACAGUAGAGUGAAUAUUGUUGAAAUGAUUUUUCUUCCUAGAGAUAUUUGACUGAAUCAACAUUGAGUGGAUGAAAAUUUUGAAGCUCAGACCACAUCAAUGCUAGGGAGGAGCAGCUGAUUAACAUAUGAGCAAUAUUCUAUAAUUCAUUAAAGAAAGGAAAUUGACUAACUGGCAUAUGAGCCCUAUACAAUCUCGCCUAUUUGGUGCACCUAAUUCAUCUCAGAGAAACACACAAUUCGCUGGAAAAAUAAUGCAAAGCCCAAUAGUGCUGAGCCAUACCAUUCAAUUCAUGUUCUUGAUCUCACCCUGCCGGCCUCUUUGCUCAGGCCGAGCUCGCAUAGUAGUCCCUCACCAACGAUCUCAAACAGUACUGCCUAGGUUACCUCACCAACCAGAGAAACACUUGAUCAUUGUGUUCAAAGAUGAGUUAGAUGAUGUGAAACUGAACCCAGCUGAAAAAUAAUGAAAAUCUGAACUAAACUGACCCAAAAUCAAAUCUAAGCCUUUCUAUGCAUGGCAAUGGAGAUGAGUUAGAUGAAUCUACAACUGAAUUCAACUGAAAAACAAUGAAAACCUGACCAAAACUGAACCAAAAUCAAAAUUGGAAUAAUAAAAAUCUGAACUAAACUGAAGAAAAAUAAAAAAUCUUGAAUAUUGUUGAAAUAAUUUUUCUUUGUAGAGAUAUUUGACUGAAUCAACAUUGAGUGUGGAUGAAAAUUUUGAAGUUCAGACCACAGCAAUGCUAGGGAGGAGCAGCUGAUUAACGUAUGAGAAAUAUUCUCUAUUUCAUCAAAGAAAGGAAAAUUGACUGACUGGCAUAUGAGCGCUAUACAAUCUCGCAGUCCAUUACCACUUUACCUAUCAAACUGAGUAGCAAUAUUAUUAUUAGCAGCUAUAGGCAGCAUAUAUCAGGACCAAUCAGCAGCCUACACAUAUCAGUAUCAGCAUAUGAAGCAGUCAGCCACGCCGUGUUUUCACCACAACACGGCCAAUAAAAAGAAUCUACCAAGCGAUGCCUCAAUAUAUGACUUAUAGAUUAGAGAAGAGCCAAUAAAAAAUUCUGCCAUCGUGUUGGUAGAUGCACUUGAUUGAUGGUUCUUCUACACAUUAGUGCUAAGAAAAUGGCAUAUUGACGACAACCAAAACGGCAUCAGGGUGCCAGUUGGUAGGCUGUGACCUGUGUGGUUGCGGAUGUGAUAGAGCGGAUAGAUUUUGAAGAGCAGCAACAAUUGCAUCAUGACUUGGGGCGAGGGGAUCCAUGGUGGUCGUUCCACCACGACGCCUCUCCCCAUCGGUCGGCCAUGGCAUCGGCAACCCCCAGCGCUUAUCUAUGGCGUUGGUUGCCUCCACAACCACGGCGCCCCUCCCCGCGCUCCCACCACACCACCACACACAUCCAACGCCCCAUCGCCGUUGCCCCUGUCAAUCCCCCUCAAAUAUCCCUCGAUCUCGAUCUGGUGGAAAAUAAUUGUGAGAGAGAACGAACCCGAGGGACGGAGUCAGUUGUUGGUUUCGUCGCCUGGAUCGGGGGUCGCGCAAGAUACGGCGGAUCCUGCCAUCAGGUAUCGCCGAUCGUGGGGUGGAGCAGAUGGAUGGGGUCGCAGCAGCGGAAGAACCCUCACGUUCUUGUGGGGGGGGCAAUUCUAAGGACGGGGUUUGUGUCCGGAUCGCCUUUCGCUAGGGGCCGAUUACCAGGGUACUGUGUUGAUCUUGGAGAGGUAUUUAAGAGAUGGGAAACUCGGGCGUGAAAUUUUGCCUACCUAAUCGGACGAACGAACGUGUUGGGAUGGACUUCUAAAACCAAACGACGAACAAAAGAAAAGAAAACGACGGCCGAAAGCAUAGAUUUUUUUGGCAGAAAACAAGCGAGCUCAUCAAUGCGCAACUACAUGGCCCAGGUCGGCUUAGCAAUGCAUGCGUGUGAGCGAACCCAUAGACUACAUGGCCCAGGCCGGCUUAGCGUGCGUGCGAACAAACCCAUCGAGUAGGUUCCCCGAAUUAGUAUUUUAAAUUCAAACUGAAAGCGUAAAUUCACGGGAAGAAGCGUAUUGUGACAGUGAACCCGACAAAGUCAAUCCAUGCUUUAUUAUUAGGGAAAGAUUGUUCAAAUCUUUAAUAGCCAACAUGGCUGGAUUUUUACUAUGGUUAUCAAUAACCAGUAUUAUGAUUGAGGUUUUCAAAGUCGCUUUAGCGCAAUGGAUAUUAUUUUAUCGAUGGAUAUGAUUUAUUCUACAAUGGAAGGAAUAGUCCCGAUUCGCUGCAGGCUUACAACCCGGCACUUGGGGGCUACAUUGUUCAAAUUGAGAUUACAUCAAAUAUGGAAGUCCCAUGUCACUGCCAGCAUGCACCAUGGCACUUGGGGGCUAAUGCAAAGUCAUUUUUUCAUCACCUUAUUGAAGACCCGACUCAUCACAUUGUAAUGAGUCGGCCCUUGGGGGCUACCAAUUUCUCAUGUCAACAAUUCAAGGUACACAAGUUUUAAUCCAUUAUAUUCAAGGGUCCCUUAGUUGGUAAAGCACAAAGCUCUUAACCUUGUGGACGUGGGUUCAAGCCCCAUGAUGGGAGUUACAUCAUAUGAUGUUAUUUUCAAUGAAGUAUAUAUAAAGUCUCUGCUCAUUAUUUGCAUAAUGACCCAGCCCUCGGGGGCUACACUGGUUGAAGUUUUUGUGAGCAUCAGGCAAAUACAAGUCCCAGGUUGCUGCAAGCAUGACAACCCGGCACUUGGGGGCUACAUAGGUGGAAUACUCAGUUCUGACUAGUGAUUGAGACGAACAACCUGGAUUUCUUCAAGCUUGUGACAUUCAUAUUGAAGCAAUUCUUAAGUUGUUACUACGUUACCUUCUUAAGACUUGGGGUCUACAAGUGAUAGGCAUAUAAGAGGUAUAUUUUCAAAGCUGAUGUUAACAAACAGUUAUGACCCGGUGCCAUCAAUAUUUAUAAACCGGCAAGUUUUACAUCCUUAAACCGGCGGAAGAUCAUAUGAGUAUUUCAAAGACCAAUAUUUCUGUUAAGCAUUGGGAGCUGAGUCAAAUGAAUUAUUCUUCAUAAUAUUUUUCUGUGACAAACCAAUGUCAGCAAAUUGAUUAUGAAGCUGGCCUAUUGACCCGGAUUUUCUAGAAGGAAAUGACAAGGAUUGAAGGAUGCUCGGGAUCAGUUUAACAUGGAUAAAUCCAAAUUAAACUGGGGGCUAAUGUCGGGGAUAUACCCCGCGGUAUGACCCAGCCAGAGUUAUAACCCAGCUGGGACUUGGUAAACCGGCAGAUAUUAACUCAGAUGAUAACCCGGCAGGUGUUAACUCAGACGAUAACCCGGCAGGUGUUAAGUCAGAUGAUAACCCGGCAGGUGUUAAGUCAGAUGAUAACCCGGCAGAUGUUAAGUCAGAUGAUAACCAGGCAAGUGUUAAGUCAGAUGAUAACCCGGCAGGUGUUAAGUCAGAUCAUAAACCGGCAGACCAUCAUAAACCGGCAGACCAUCAUAAACCGGCAGACAGUGAUAACUGGUUGACAGUCAUAACCCGACAGACAGUGAUAACUGGUUGACAGUCAUAACUCGGUAGAUAGAGUCGCCUGGAGUUAUGAAGCCCGGGACGUUAUGAAGCCCAAGACGUUAAGAAGCCCGUGAAGAGAAGUCAAAAUAGCUUAAGUCUUAAUCCGAGUUGGACUCUACAUGUAACCUGCCCCUUCAACAUAUAUAAGGAGGGGCGGGGCACCCCAAGGAGGGGGAGGAAUAAUCUUAGGGCUAGACAUAACUGGGAGAGCCGUUUUACGGCGACUCCCUCGUGAUGAUAAUGAGACCUAGCCUCAAACAGCAUGUAGGGUUGUUACCGGAUGAUGUUUCCCGGGGCCCGAAGCUGUCUAAACCAUUGUCUUGUGUUGCGUCUCUCGAUUCCGCUCAACCCCUCUCAAGCUACCACAUAGAUGUGUUGGCCUCACGACUAAGUCCUCACACUAGGACAUCUGCCGUGACAAUUCCACGACACAUCCCCUCUUUCGUCUUCGUUCAUCGGUAACCUUACUUGGAGCUAUAUUUUUAUUCACCACAUGAUAUGUGUUUUGCUUGGAGCGUCAUUUUAUUUUCUUUUGUUUUGCUUGCUGUUUGAAUAAAAUAACAAGAUCUUAAAUUCUUAAAUGUUAGAGAGUCUUCACAUAGUUGCAUAAUUAUUCGACUACUCAUUGAUCUUCACUUAUAUCUUUCGGAGUAGUUUGUCAUUUGCUCUAGUGCUUCACUUAUAUCUUUUUAGAGCACGGCGGUGGUUUUAUUUUGAAGAAAUUGAUGAACUCUCAUGCUUCACUUAUAUUAUUUUGAGAGUCUUAAACAGCAUGGUAAUUUGCUUAGGUUAUGAAUUUAGUCCUAAUUUGACAGGCAUCCAAGAGGGAUAUAAUAAAAACUUUCAUAUAAAGUGCAUUGAAUACUAUGAGAAGUUUGAUUCUUUGUGAUUGUUUUGCGAUAUGAAGAUGGUGAUAUUAGAGUCAUGCUAGUGGAGUAGUUUUGAAAUACUUGUGUUAAAGUUUGUGAUUCCCGUAGCAUGCACGUAUGGUGAACCGUUAUGUGAUGAAGUUGGAGCAUGAGGUAUUUAUUGAUUGUCUUCCUUAUCAGUGGAGGUCGGGAUCACACGAUGGUUAACUCCUACCAACCCUUCCCCUAGGAGCAUGCGUGUAGUACUUUGUUUUGAUAAAUUGUAGAUUUUUGCAAUAAGUAUAUGAGUUCUUUAUGACUAAUGUUGAGUCCAUGGAUUAUACGCACUCUCACCCUUCCACCAUUGCUAGCCUCUCUUGUGUUGCGCAACUUUCGCCGGUACCAUACACCCACCAUAUACCUUCCUCAAGACAGACACCAUACCUACCUAUUAUGGCAUUUCCAUAGCCAUUCCGAGAUAUAUUGCCAUGCAACUUUCCACCGUUCCGUUUAUUAUGACACGCUUCAUCAUUGUCAUAUUGCUUUGCAUGAUCAUGUAGUUGACAUAGUAUUUGUGGCAAAGCCACCGUUCAUAUUCUUUCAUACAUGCACUCUUAAUUCAUUGCACAUCCCGGUACACCGCCGGAGGCAUUCAUAUAGAGUCAUAUUUUGUUCUAAGUAUUGAGUUGUAAUUCUUGAGUUGUAAGUAAAUAAAAGUGUGAUGAUCAUCAUUAUUAGAGCAUUGUCCCAGUGAGGAAAGGAUGAUGGAGACUAUGAUUCCCCCACAAGUCGGGUUGAGACUCCGGACGAAAAAAAAGAGGCCAAAAAAAUAGAGGGCCCCCCCAAAAAAAGAUAAAACAAAAAAAUGAGAGAAAAAGAGAGAAGGGGCAAUGCUACUACCCUUUUACCACACUUGUGCUUCAAAGUAGCACCAUGAUCUUCAUGAUAGAGAGUCUCCUAUGUUGUCUCUUUCAUAUACUAGUCAGAAUUUUCAUUAUAGAAUUUGGCUUGUAUAUUCCAAUGAUGGGCUUCCUCAAAUGCCAUAGGUCUUCAUGAGCAAGCAAGUUGGAUGCACACCCACUUAGUUUCUUUUUGAGCUUUCAUACACUUAUAGCUCUAGUGCAUCCGUUGCAUGGCAAUCCCUACUCACUCACAUUGAUAUCUAUUGAUGGGCACCAUAACCCGUUGAUAUGCCUAGUUGCUGUGAGACAAUCUUCUCCUUUUGUCUUCUCCACAACCACCAUUCUAUUCCACCUAUAGUAUUAUGUCCAUGGCUCACGCUCAUGUAUUGCGUGAAAGUUGAAAAAGUUUGAGAAUACUAAAGUAUGAAACAAUUGCUUGGCUUGUCAUCGGGGUUGUGCAUGAUUUGAAUAUUUUGUGUGACGAAGAUGGAGCAUAGCCAAACUAUAUGAUUUUGUAGGGAUGAACUUUCUUUGGCCAUGUUAUUUUGAGAAGACAUAUAACUUUGUUAGUAUGCUUGACGUAUUAUUAUUUUUAUGUCAAUAUUAAACUUUUGUCUUGAAUCUUUCGGAUGUGAACAUUCAUGCCACAAUAAAGAAAAUUUCAUUGAUAAAUAUGUUAGGUAGCACUCCACAUCGAAAAUUCUGUUUUUAUCAUUUACCUACUCGAGGACGAGCAGGAAUUAAGCUUGGGGAUGCUUGAUACGUCUCCAAUGUGUAUAUAAUUUUUUAUUGUUCCAUGCUAUUAUAUUAUCCAUCUUGCAAGUUUUAUAUGCAUUUAUAUGCUAUUUUAAUGAUUUUUGGGACUAACCUAUUAACCGAGAGCCCAGUGAUAGUUUCUGUUUUUUCCUUGUUUUUGAGUUCUACAGAAAAGGAAUACCAAACGGAGUCCAAUUGACGUGCCAAUUUUUGAUGAUUUUUUAUGAACCAAAAGAACCCCGGGAGUAAAAUAGUUGGGCCAGAAGAGUCCCGAGCCAUCCACGAGGGUGGAGGGCGCGCCCUACCCCCCUGCCUCGUGGAUGACUCGGAGACCCCCCUAACGUGAGACCGACACAAAAAAUUCCUAUAAAUACAGAAACCCCCAAAAAGAAACCUAGAUCGGGAGUUCCGCCGUCGCACGCCUCUGUAGCCACCAAAAACCAAUCGGGACCCUGUUCCGGCACCCUGCUGAAGGCGGGAAUCGUCACCGGUUGCCAUCUUCAUCAUCCCGGUGCUCUACAUGAUGAGGAGGGAGUAGUUCACCCUCGGGGCUGAGGGUAUGUACCAGUAGCUAUGUGUUUGAUCUCUCUCUCUCUCUCGUGUUCUUGAUUUGGCACGAUCUUGAUGUACCGCGAGCUUUUCUACUAUAGAUGGAUCUUAUGAUGUUUCUCCCCCUCAACCUUCUUGUAAUGGAUUGAGUUUUCCCUUUGAAGUUAUCUUAUCGGAUUGAGUCUUUAAGGAUUUGAGAACACUUGAUGUAUGUCUUGCGUGGGAUACCUGUGGGGACAAUGGGGUAUUCUAUUGAUUCACUUGAUGUAUGUUUUUGUGAUCAACUUGCGGGUUCCGUGGCCUUGGGAAUCUAUGCAUAGGGGUUGGCACACGUUUUCGUCUUGACUCUCCGGUAGAAACUUUGGGGCACUCUUUGAAGUUCUUUGUGUUGGUUGAAUAGAUGAAUUUGAGAUUGUAGGCUGCAUAUCGUAUAAUCAUACCCGCGGAUACUUGAGGUGACAUUAGGGUUUUGGUUGAUUUGUGUCUUAAGGUGUUAUUUUACUACAAACUCUAGGGCUGUUUGUGACACUUACAGGAAUAGCCCAAUGGAUUGAUCGGAAAGAAUAACUUUGAGGCAAUUUUUCUUCAAGCAAAGCAUUGAAAUUCCUUUGCUGAAAUCAUAAAAUUCUUUAACACUAGUCUCAAAAUCAGAGGGCAUCUUAUUAAAAUUUCCAUAAGAGUUGUUGUAGGAAUUACCAUUAUUAUUAGAGGAAUUACUAGGGAACGGCCUAGAAUUAAAGUUUCCUCUAUACGCGUUAUUACCAAAGUUGUUCCUGCCAACAAAAUUCACGUCCUAGAUUCAUUAUUAUUCUCAAUAAAAGUGGACAAAGGCAUAUCAUUAGGAUCAGAAGAAACACUCUUAUUAGCAAACAAUUUCGUAAGUUCAUCCAUCUUUCCACGCAAAACAUUAAUAUCUUCAAUCGCAUGAACCUUUUUACUAGUGCAUCUUUCGGUGUGCCAUUGAGAAUAAUUAACCAUAAUAUUAUCUAGGAGUUUAGUAGCUUCUCCUAAAGUGAUUUCCAUAAAAGUGCCUCCCGCGGCCGAAUCUAAAAGAUUUCUAGAAGCAAAAUUCAUUCCGGCAAAAAACAAUUGUAUAAUCAUCCAUAAAUUCAAACCAUGUGUAGGGAAAUUACGUAUCAUUAAUUUCAUCCUCUCCCAAGCUUGUGCAACAUGCUCAUGAUCAAGUUGCUUAAAGUUCAUAAUAUCGUUUCUAAGAGAGAUGAUCUUAGCGGGAGGAAAAUACUUAGAGAUAAAAGCAUCUUUGCAGCUAUUCCAUGAAUCAAUAUUAUUUUUAGGCAAAGAAGAGAACCAAGUUUUAGCACAAUCUCUAAGCGAAAACGAAAAUAGCUUCAAUUUAACAAUAUCAUUAUCCACAUCUUUCUUCUUUUGCAUAUCGCACAAAUCAACGAAGUUGUUUAGAUGGGUAGCAGCAUCUUCACUAGGAAGGCCAGAAAAUUGAUCUUUCAUGACGAGAUUCAACAAAGCAGCAUUAAUUUCAUAAGAUUCAGCAUCAGUAAUAGGAGCAAUCGGAGUGCUAAUAAAAUCAUUGUUGUUGGUAUUGGAAAAUUCACACAAUUUAGUAUUAUCUUGAGCCAUCGUGACAAACAAUGAAUCCAACACACAAGCACAGAAGAAGCAACCGAAAAGAGACAAACGGAAAAAGGGCGAAUAAAACGGCAAGGGUGAAGUGGGGGAGAGGAAAAAUGGAGGCAAAUGGCAAAUAAUGUAAUGCGAGGGAGAAGAGUUUGUGAUGGGUACUUGGUAUGUCUUGACUUGUGCGUAGAUCUCCCCGGCAACGGCGCUAGAAAUCCUUCUUGCUACCUCUUGAGCAUGCGUUGGUUUUCCCUUGAAGAGGAAAGGGUGAUGUAGCAAAGUAGCGUAAGUAUUUCCCUCAGUUUUUGAGAACCAAGGUAUCAAUCCAGUAGGAGACUACACGCAAAUCGCCUAGUACCUGCACAAACAAUGAAGAACCUUGCAACCAACGCGAUAAAGGGGUUGUCAAUCCCUUCACGGCCACUUGCAAAAGUGAGAUCUGAUAAAGAUAAUAAGAUAAAAUUUUUUGGUAUUUUUGUUGUAUAGAUUGAAAAUUAAAGAUUGCAAAAUAAAUAGAUAGUAAACGAGAAUUAUAGAUCGGAAACUUAUAUGAUAUAAAGUAGACCUGUGGGCCAUAUGUUUCACUAGUGGCUUCUCUCAAGAUAGCAUAUAUUACGGUGGGUGAACAAAUUAGUGCCGAGCAAUUGAUAGAAAAGUGCAUAGUUAUGAGAAUAUCUAGGCAUGAUCAUGAACGUAGGCAUCACGUCUGCGUCAAGUAGACCGAAACAAUUCUGCAUCUACUACUAUUACUCCACACAUCGACCGCUAUCCAGCAUUCAUCUAGAGUAUUAAGUUCAUAAGAACAGAGUAACGCAUUAGGCAAGAUGACAUGAUGUAGAGGGAUAAACUCAAGCAAUAUGAUAUAAGCCCCAUGUUUUUAUCCUCGAUGGCAACAAUACAAUACAUGUCGGUUCCCUUUUUGUCACUGGGAUCGAGCACCGCAAGAUUGAACCCAAAGCUAAGCACUUCUCCCAUUGCAAGAAAGAUCAAUCUAGUAGGCCAAACCAAACUGAUAGUUCGAAGGGACUUGCAAAGAUAUUAAAUCAUGCAUAUAAGAAUUCAUAGAAGAAUCAAAUAAUGUUCAUAGAUAAUCUUGAUCAUAAACCCACAAUUCAUCGGAUCUCGACAAACACACCGCAAAAAGUAUUACAUCGAAUAGAUCUCCAAGAAAAUCGAGGAGAACUUUGUAUUGAGAACCAAAGAGAGAGAGAGAAGAAGCCAUCUAGCUAAUAACUAUGGACCCGAAGGUCUGUGGUAAACUACUCACACAUCAUCGGAGAGGCUAUGGUGUUGAUGUAGAAGCCCUCCGUGAUCGAAUCCCCCUCCGGCAGAUCACCGGAAAAGGCCCCAAGAUGGGAUCUCACGGGUACAGAAGGUUGCGGCGGUGGAAAAGUGGUUUCGUGGCUCUCCUGGAUGUUUUCAGGGUAUAAGAGUAUAUAUAGGCGAAAGAAGUACGUCGGUGGAGCUACAAGGGGCCCACGAGGGUGGGGCGCGCCUACCCCCCUGGGCACGCCCUCCUACCUCGUGGCCGCCUCGUUGCUUCCUUGACUUCCACUCCAAGUCUCCUGGGUUGCGUUUGUUCCAAGAAAGAUCCUCGCGAAGGUUUCAUUCCGUUUGGAUUCCGUUUGAUAUUCCUUUUCUGCGAAACACUGAAAUAGGCAAAAAACAGCAAUUUGCACUGAGCCUUCGGUUAAAAGGUUAGUCCCAAAAAUAAUAUAAAAGAGCAUAUUAAAGCCCAUUAAACAUCCAAAACAGAUAAUAUAAUAGCAUGGAACAAUCAAAAAUUAUAGAUACAUUGGAGACGUAUCAAGCGUCCCCAAGCUUAAUUCCUGCUCGUCCUCGAGUAGGUAAAUGAUAAAAAACAGAAUUUUUGAUGUGGAAUGCUACCUAACAUAAUUUUCAAUGUAAUUUUAUUUAUUGUGGCAUGAAUGUUCAGAUCCGAAAGAUUCAAGACAAAAGUUUAGUAUUGACAUAAAAAUAAUAAUACUUCAAGCAUACUAACUAAGCAAUUAUGUCUUCUCAAAAUAACAUGGCCAAAGAAAGCUCAUCCCUACAAAAUCAUAUAGUUUGGCUAUGCUUCAUUUUCGUCAUACAAAAUGCUCUCAUCAUGCACAACCCCGAUGACAAGCCAAGCAAUUCUUUCAUACUUCAGUAUUUUCAAACUUUUUCAACUUUCAAGCAAAGCAUGAGCGUGAGCCAUGGACAUAGCACUAUGGGUGGAAUAGAAUAUGAUUAUGGAGGUUGUGUGGAGAAGACAAAAAGGGAGAAAGUCUCACAUCGACGCGGCUAAUCAACGGGCUAUGGAGAUCCCAUCAAUUGAUGUUAAUGCGAGGAGUAGGGAUUGCCAUGCAACGGAUGCACUAGAGCUAUAAAUGUAUGAAAGCUCAACAAAAGAAACUAAGUGGGUGUGCAUCCAACUUGCUUGCUCACGAAGACCUAGGGCAUUUGAGGAAGCCCAUUGUUGGAAUAUACAAGCCAAGUUCUAUAAUGAAAAAUUCCCACUAGUAUAUGAAAGUGACAAAAUAAGAGACUCUCUAUCAUGAAGAUCAUGGUGCUACUUUGAAGCACAAGUGUGGAAAAAAAGGAUAGCAGCAUUGUCCCUUCUCUCUUUUUCUCUCUCUUUUUUUGGGCCUUUCUUUUUUUGGCCUUUCUCUUUUUUUUCCUCACACGGGACAAUGCUGUAGUAAUGAUGAUCAUCACACUUAUAUUUAUUUACAACUCGAUACUAGAACAAAACAUGACUCUAUAUGAGUGCCUCCGGCGGUGUACCCGGAUAGGCAAUGAAUCAAGAGUGACAUGUAUGAAAAAUUAUGCAUGGUGGCAUUGCCACAAAUACGAUGUCAACUACAUGAUCAUGCAAGGCAAUAUGACAAUGAUGAAGCGUGUCAUAAUAAACGGAACGGUGGAAAGUUGCAUGGCAAUAUAUCUCGGAAUGGCUAUGUAAAUGCCAUAAUAGGUAGGUAUGGUGGCUGUUUUGAGGAAGAUAUAAGGAGGUUUAUGUGUGAUAGAGCGUAUCAUAUCACGGGGUUUGGAUGCACCGGCGAAGUUUGCACCAACUCUCAAGGUGAGAAAGGGCAAUGCACGGUACCGAAGAGGCUAGCAAUGAUGGAAGGGUGAGGGUGCGUAUAAUCCAUGGACUCAACAUUAGUCAUAAUGAACUCAUAUACUUAUUGCAAAAAUCUACAAGUCAUCAAAACCAAGAACUACACGCAUGCUCCUAGGGGGAUAGAUUGGUAGGAAAAGACCAUCGCUCGUCCCCGACCGCCACUCAUAAGGAAAGCAAUCGAAGAACACCUCAUGCUUCAAAUUUGUCACACAACGUUUACCAUACGUGCAUGGUACGAGACUUGCAAACCUCAACACAAGUAUUUCUCAAAUUCAAAAUUACUCAACUAGCAUGACUCUAAUAUUACCAUAUUCAUAUCUCAAAACAAUCAUCAAGUAUCUAACUUCUCAUAGUAUUCAAUGCACUCUAUAUGGAAGUUUUUAUUAUACCCAUCUUGGAUGCUUAUCAUAUUAGGACUAAUUUUAUAGCCAAAGCAAAUUACCAUGUUGUUCUAAAAGACUCUCAAAAUAAUAUAAGUGAAGCAUGAGAUAUCAAUAAUUUCUAUAAAAUAAAACCACCACCGUGCUCUAAAAUGAUAUAAGUGAAGCACUAGAGCAAAAUUAUCAAGCUCAAAAGAUAUAAGUGAAGCACAUAGAGUAUUCUAAUAAAUUCCGAUUCAUGUGUGUCUCUCCAAAAGGUGUGUACAGAAAGGAUGAUUGUGGUAAACUAAAAAGAAAAUACUCAAAACAUACAAGACGCUCCAAGCAAAACACAUAUCAUGUGGUGAAUAAAAAUAUAGCCUCAAGUAAAGUUACCGAUAGGCGAAGACGAAAAGAGGGGGAUGCCUUCCGGGGCAUCCCCAAGCUUAGGCUUUUGGUUGUCCUUGAAUUUUACCUUAGGGUGCCUUGGGAAUCCCCAAGCUUAGGCUCUUUCUACUCCUUAUUCCAAAAUCCAUCAAAUCUUUACCCAAAAACUUGAAAACUUCACAACACAAAACUUAAACAGAAAAUCUCAUGAGCUCCGUUAGUGUAAGAAAACAAACCACCACCUUAAGGUACUAUAAUGAACUCAUUAAUUACUUAUAUUCGUGUUAAACCUACUGUAUUCCAACUUCUCUAUGGUUCAUACCCCCCGAUACUGGCCACAGAUUCAUCAAAAUAAGCAAACAACACACGAAAAACAGAAUCUGUCAAAAAACAGAACAGUCUGUAAUAAUCGGAUUUGUUAGAAUACUUCUGGAACUCAAAAAAUUCUGAAAAACUAGUACAACCUGGAUAAUUUGUAUAAGGAUCUACUGCAAAAUGAAUUGGUAUUUUAUCAUGUUCUGGUGAAUUUUAACAAUCAUUUUCGUGAGUGCAAAGUUUCUUUCUUUUUCAGCAAGAUCAAACAACUAUCACCCAAAAAGAUCCUAUUGGUUCUACUUGGCACAAUCACUAAUUAAAACAAAAAACCACAUCUAAAAAAAAGCUAGAUGAAUUAUUUAUUACUAAACAGGAACAAAAAUCAAGGAACAAAAAUAAAAUUGGGUUGCCUCCCAACAAGCGCUAUCGUUUAACGCCCCUAGCUAGGCAUAAAAACAAGAAUAGAUCUAAGUAUUGUCAUUUUUGGUAUGCAAUCCAUAAGUGGCCCUCAUAAUAGAUUCAUAAGGUAAUUCAAUUUUCUUCCUAGGAAAGUGUUCCAUGCCUUUCCUUAACGGAAAUUGGAAUCUAAUAUUUCCUUCUUUCAUGUCAAUAAUUGCACCAAUCGUUCUAAGGAAUGGUCUACCAAGAAUAAUAGGACAUGUAGGAUUGCAAUCUAUAUCAAGAACAAUGCAAUCUACGGGCAUGUAAUUCCUAUUUGCAACAAUAAGAACACCAUUAAUCCUUCCCAUAGGUUUCUUAAUGGUGGAAUCCGCAAGAUGCAAAUUUAAAGAACAAUCAUCACAUUCACGGAAACCUAGCACAUCACACAAAGUUUUUGGAAUCGUGGAAACACUAGCACCCAAAUCACAUAAAGCAUAGCAUUUAUAAUCUUUAAUCUUAUUUUUAGUAGUAGGUUCCCACACAUCAUAAAGUUUUCUAGGGAUAGAAACUUCUAAUUCAAGUUUUUCUUCAUAGGAUUGCAUUAAAGCAUCAACGAUAUGUUUAGUAAAGGCUUUAUUCUGAUCAUAAGCAUGAGGAGAAUUUAACACUGAUUGCAACAAGGAAAUACAAUCUAUCAAAGAACAAUUAUUAUAAUUGAAUUCCUUGAAAUCCAAAAUGGUGGGUUCAUUGCUAUGUAAAGUUUUGACCUCUUCAAUCCCACUUUUACCAAUUUUUGCAUCAAGAUCUAAAAACUUCGAAUCAUUGGGACGCCUUUUAACUAAAGUUGACUCAUCUCCAGUCCCAUAUUUAUCAAGAAUCAUAUUGGAAAACAAAGAUUUAAUAGGAGACACAUCAAUCACUUUUAGAUCUUCAUCAUUAUUGUCAUAAAAACUAGAACAACACGCUUUCACAAAGCAAUCUUUUUUAGCACGCAUCCUAGCGGUUCUUUCUUUGCUAUCAUCAAUAGAAAUUAUCAUAGAUUUGAGAGACUCAUUGAUAUCAUGCUUAGGUGGAAUAGAUCUAAGUUUCAAAGAAUCAACAUCAAGAGAAAUUCUAUCCACGUUCCUAGCCAACUCAUCAAUCUUAGGCAAUUUUUCUUCAAGCAAAGCAUUGAAAUUCUUUUGCGAAAUCAUAAAUUCUUUCCCAAGCUUGUGCAACAUGCUCAUGAUCAAGUUGCUUAAAAUUCAUAAUAUCGUUUCUAAGAGAGAUGAUCUUAGCGGGAGGAAAAUACUUAGAGAUAAAAGCAUCUUUGCAGCUAUUCCAUGAAUCAAUACUAUUUUUAGGCAAAGAAGAGAACCAAGUUUUAGCACGAUCUCUAAGCGAAAAUGGAAAUAGCUUCAAUUUAACAAUAUCAUUAUCCACAUCUUUCUUCUUUUGCAUAUCGCACAAAUCAACGAAGUUGUUUAGAUGGGUAGCAGCAUCUUCACUAGGAAGGCCAGAAAAUUGAUCUUUCAUGACGAGAUUCAACAAAGCAGCAUUAAUUUCACAAGAUUCAGCAUCAGUAAUAGGAGCAAUCGGAGUGCUAAUAAAAUCAUUGUUGUUGGUAUUGGAAAAUUCACACAAUUUAGUAUUAUCUUGAGCCAUCAUGACAAACAAUGAAUCCAGCACACAAGCACAGAAGAAGCAACCGAAAAGAGACGAACAGAAAAAGGGCGAAUAAAACGGCAAGGGUGAAGUGGGGGAGAGGAAAACUAGAGGAAGAUGGCAAAUAAUGUAAUGCGAGGGAGAAGAGUUUGUGAUGGGUACUUGGUAUGUCUUGACUUGUGUAACGCCCACGAUGCGGCUAUAUCUCCCACGUGUCGAGGCACGACUUAGAGGCAUAACCGCAUAGUGGUUUUGUCGCAAGAAGGGUCAUCUUCACACAAUCCCAUGUAAUGAACAAGAUUGUGAUAAAGAGUUGGCUUACAAUCGCCACUUCACACAAUACAUAAAUAUAAUUCAUACAUCAUCCAAAAUACACACAUAGACCGACUACGGUCAAGAUCCAAAUGAAAAUAAGAUAACCCCAAAUGCUAGAUCCCCGAUCGUCCCAACUGGGCUCCACUACUGAUCAUCAGGAAAAGACACAUAGUAACGACCACGUUCCUCAUCGAACUCCCACUUGAGAUCGAACCCAUCAUCUGCACUGGCAUCGUCGGCGCCUGCAACUGUUUUGGUAGAAUCUGUGAGUCACGAGGACUCAGCAAUCUCACACCCGCGAGAUCAAGACUAUUUAAGCUUAUAGGAAAGGAUGGUGUAAUGAGGUGGAGCGGCAGUAGGCAAUAAGCAUAUAUGGUGGCUAACAUACGCAAAAGAGAGCGAGAAGAGAAGCAACGGAACGGUCGUCAACUAGGAAUGACCAAGAAGUGAUCCUGAACUCCUACUUACGUCAUACAUAACUCAAACCGUGUUCACUUCCCGGACUCCGCCGAGAAGAGACCAUCACGGCUACUCACACGGUUGAUGUAUUUUAAUUGGGUCAAGUGACAAGUUCUCUACAAUCGGACAUUAACAAAUUCCCAUCUGCCUCAUAACCGCGGGCACGGCUUUCGAAAGAUAAUACCCUGCAGGGGUGUCCCAACUUAGCCCAUCAUAAGCUCUCACGGUCAACGAAGGAUAAACCUUCUCCCGAAAAGACCCGAUCAGUCUCGGAAUCCCGGUUUACAAGACAUUUCGACAAUGGUAAAACAAGACCAGCAAAGUCGCCCGAUGUGCCGACAAAUCCCGAUAGGAGCUGCACAUAUCUCGUUCUCAGGGCAACAUCGGAUGAGACAUCCUACGAGUAAAACCAGACCUCGAGUUUCCACGAGGGGGCCCCGCAGUCUACUCAGUUCGGACCAACACUCGAAGGAGCACUGGCCCGGGGGGGUUAAAAUAAAGAUGACCCUCGGGCUCGCGAAAACCCGGGGGAAAAGGCUUAGGUGGCAAAUGGUAAAACCAAGGUUGGGCCUUGCUGGAGGAGUUUUAUUCAAGGCGAACUGUCAAGGGGGUCCCAUAAAUCACCCAACCGCGUAAGGAACACAAACUCAAGGAACAUAAUCCCGGUAUGCCGGAAACUAGGGCGGCAAGAGUGGAACAAAACACCAGGCAUAAGGCCGAGCCUUCCACCCUUUACCAAAAUAUAUAGAUGCAUUAAUAUAAUAAGAGAUAUUGUGAUAUCCCAACAUAUCCAUGUUCCAACAUGGAACCAACUUCAACUUCACCUGCAACUAACAACGCUAUAAGAAGGGCUGAGCAAAAGCGGUAACUUAGCCAAACAACGGUUUGCUAGGAAAGGAUGGUUAGAGGCUGACAUGGCAAUAUGGAAGACAUGAUAUAGCAAGUGGUAGGUAGCGCAGCAUGGCAAUAGAGCGAAACAACUAGCAAAGCAAAGAUAGAAGUGAUUUCGAGGGUAUGGUCAUCUUGCCUGCAAGGUUCUCAGAGUUGUCGAAGGCUUGAUCCUCGUAAGCGUACUCAACAGGUUCCUCAUUCACGAACUCGUCUCCCGGCUCUACCCAAGACAAGAACACAAGCAACGGAACCACAAUCAACCACGAGAAAUGCACAAGCAACAUGAUGCAAAACAUGAAUGAUAUGCAAGAUAUGAUAUGCGAUGCACAAGCGUGCUCCGGAAGGAAAAAUGAUGAACAAGGUAGUAACUUGGAAAACCAAGCAUGCCGCUGGAAAGAUGAGAUGAUUUCGGUCGAAAUCGAUAUAAGGAUCACCGGAAACGGAUGCACGGUUUGCAAAUGGCAAGCAAAACAAGAAUGACACGAAUCUGCGAUUAACAGCAUGAUAGCACUUAAAAUGCAACAAGUAACAAAGCUACAGCACUCCAACAUAGAAACAAAGCAUAUGGCAGUAAUCUACAGGAGAUGCUUGACAAAAUAUGAACACUGAGCUACGGCUAGUUCACAACAUAACAGGCUCAAACAAGCAUGGAAAAAGUGAAAAAGAUAACAGGAUCACAGACUUGGUGAAAUUACUGGACAUGCCUGAAACAGCACCAGGUAGCAAUGUUCAGAGCACGAAAUCAAUAUGCUACAGGAACUUAACAUGGCAAAACAAGGCAUGGAAGUAUUCUAAUAAAUGCAUAUAACAAAAGUCCCUUACUGACCAUAAGCCAAAAAGGACCAGAAGAUAUGAUGGCAACCACGUAAACAUAGCAAGUUUCAUUAACAGGUUCCAGACUUGGCAGAAAACAGAGCAUGGCAGAAACAAUAAUAUGAAGGUAUCUUGGUGAGCUUGAUGCACUCACCACAAAGAAAUGCAUGACAAAACAAGCACACCUACAGCAAGAUGGAAUGUUUAUGAAGCUAUCCAUGGAAAUAGCAAAAGCAUAGCAUGUAUGGAUCAACUACAACAAGCUUGGCAAAAUUGAAUAACAUGUAAACAAUCUGCCAGAAAUAUUUUAUAGCAAAAGUAGAGCAAGAUUGAGUCAUGCUAUGGUACUCGAUAAUUGCAAACAAGGGCAGGAAUGGAUCAAUUACAACAAUAUCUACAAAACAUCCUUACUGAACAUCACCAAAAUAUGCAUGGAUCUCUCUGUAGCAUCAAGUUUACAUGGCGACAAAAUAACAGCAGACAAAGACUUGGAGAAAUCACUAAGUCCCUGAAAUCAGAAACAUUACGGAGCCUAGUUUGCAUGCUUGUGCUAGUCACCACAGAGAUCACAAAAAUACAUUGCAUACACCACUGGAAAUAUGGCAUGGCAUACAACAAAACACAUGUAGAGCUAAUGCCCAUAAGAUGCACAGAUUAAAAGAUACAAAAAUAACAAAUCUCCAAGUUCUGCUAAGAACCAGCAGAUAACAGCAACUAGCACUCUUGCACCAGAGAUUUGGGCAUCAAGAUGGCCUCUAAUGAACGUGGUGCAAUUGAACAAAAUGUAGAGCAUCACGAGACGAACAAUUUGACAUAUUACACGCACGAAACGGAGAUAUAUACAAGGAGUUAUGAUGCUAGGAACAUGGGCAUGUACGGUAAAAUGCAAAAGACUUGGAGAUUUGGGGGGGGGGAAGAGAAAAGUCAACCUCGUCUCUACCAGAUCCGAUCGGAUCGAGGCAAGGGCCGGCUCGGCUCGGGGAUCGCCGGAGUUAGGGCGCGGGGACGCCGGCGGGGCGGCGUGCGGCGGCGGCGNNNNNNNNNNNNNNNNNNNNNNNNNNNNNNNNNNNNNNNNNNNNNNNNNNNNNNNNNNNNNNNNNNNNNNNNNNNNNNNNNNNNNNNNNNNNNNNNNNNNNNNNNNNNNNNNNNNNNNNNNNNNNNNNNNNNNNNNNNNNNNNNNNNNNNNNNNNNNNNNNNNNNNNNNNNNNNNNNNNNNNNNNNNNNNNNNNNNNNNNNNNNNNNNNNNNNNNNNNNNNNNNNNNNNNNNNNNNNNNNNNNNNNNNNNNNNNNNNNNNNNNNNNNNNNNNNNNNNNNNNNNNNNNNNNNNNNNNNNNNNNNNNNNNNNNNNNNNNNNNNNNNNNNNNNNNNNNNNNNNNNNNNNNNNNNNNNNNNNNNNNNNNNNNNNNNNNNNNNNNNNNNNNNNNNNNNNNGCGGCGGACGAUGGCGAUGCGGCGGCGGCAGGGCACGGCGGCGGCGCGGCGAGGCAGGCGCGCGGGCGGCGCGGGGAGGCACGGGCCCGGCGGGCUCGCGAUGGGCCUCGCGGGCCGGCACGGUACGGGCGGCGGCGGGCGCCACGUGGCGGACGCGGGGUGGCUGCGGCUUCGUCCGGCGGCGGCUGGACGCGUCCGGCCGCGGAGAGGAAGGUGGUUAGGGUUUCGUCUGCGAAAGUAUUUCGGGAUGGAUGCAAAUAUAUAGCUAGAGGGAGCUAGGAGAGUCCAAAUGAGGUGCGGUUUUCGCCCACACGAUCGUGAUCGAACGACCUACAGCAUGGAAGAGAGUUUGGUGGGUUUGGGGAUGUUUAGAGAGGGGGUUUUGCUGGAACACACAGAAGGCAUCUGCGGUUACCUGGUUAACCGUUGGAGUACCAAACGACCUCCAAAUGGAACGAAACUUGACCGGUGGUAUACCAAGGCCACUUGACAAGCCUCAGUCCAUUCCGAGAACGUUUGACACCCGCUCACGAAAGGAAACAAGAGAGGUGCAACGGAGGAGAUGGGAGCACCGGAUUGCAAAACGGACAACGGGGAAAAUGCUCGGAUGCAUGAGACGAACACGUAUGCAAAUGCAAUGCACAUGAUGACAUGAUAUGAAAUGCAUGACAUGAACAAAAUGCAAAACUAAAGACAAAACCGAACACGUAGGGAAUAUCAUAACACAUAGCCGAAAAUGGCAAGAGUUGGAGUUACAAAUAUGGAAAGUUACAUCCGGGGUGUUACAACUUGUGCGUAGAUCUCCCCGGCAACGGCGCUAGAAAUCCUUCUUGCUACCUCUUGAGCAUGCGUUGGUUUUCCCUUGAAGAGGAAAGGGUGAUGUAGCAAAGUAGCGUAAGUAUUUCCCUCAGUUUUUGAGAACCAAGGUAUCAAUCCAGUAGGAGACUACACGCAAAUCGCCUAGUACCUGCACAAACAAUGAAGAACCUUGCAACCAACGUGAUAAAGGGGUUGUCAAUCCCUUCACGGACACUUGCAAAAGUGAGAUCUGAUAAAGAUAAUAAGAUAAAUUUUUUUGGUAUUUUUGUUGUAUAGAUUGAAAAUUAAAGAUUGCAAAAUAAAUAGAUAGUAAACGAGAAUUAUAGAUCGGAAACUUAUAUGAUGUAAAGUAGACCUGCGGGCCAUAGGUUUCACUAGUGGCUUCUCUCAAGAUAGCAUAUAUUACGGUGGGUGAACAAAUUAGUGCCGAGCAAUUGAUAGAAAAGUGCAUAGUUAUGAGAAUAUCUAGGCAUGAUCAUGAACGUAGGCAUCACGUGUGCGUCAAGUAGACCGAAACGAUUCUGCAUCUACUACUAUUACUCCACACAUCGACCGCUAUCCAACAUUCAUCUAGCGUAUUAAGUUCAUAAGAAUAGAGUAACGCAUUAGGCAAGAUGACAUGAUGUAGAGGGAUAAACUCAAGCAAUAUGAUAUAAGCCCCAUCUUUUUAUCCUCGAUGGCAACAAUACAAUACGUGUCGGUUCCCUUUCUGUUGAGGAUAUAGACCUGGGAGUCACCCGCCAGGAGGGCCGGGUUACUCGUAGGGUCAUUGCCAGAAGCCCGGAGCCAAGUUCCAAGAUGAUGGGCCAGAGAUGGGCUGAGACCCGGAUAUGGCUUAAAAGCCCGUAGUACAAUCUUCAUUGUUAUAGUAGACUUGUAGUGUAAGGCAAGUAAUGUUUAGAGUCCGAGCCGGACACUCUUAUGAGCCGGCCGGGACUCUAAGGGCCGCUGGGUGUCAACCUCCCUAUAUAAAGGGACGACCCGGCAGCGGUUUAGGGGCGACAACAAUCUGAUCGAGAACCGGGCAUAGCUGUUUAGCUCCCUGGUUAUCGAAACCCUGAUUAAUACCACCUCAACUGGACGUAGGCUUUUACCUUCACCGUAAGGAGCCGAACCAGUAUAAACCCUCGUGUUCCUUGUCCCACAUAACCCCUUCAAGCUUCCCAAUUGCGAUGGCUCCACGACUAAGUCCUAACCCGAGGACAUCUGCCGUGACAAUUCCACGAUAGUUGGCGCCCACCGUGGGGCUGGCGCACGAUGGAUUUGAGUUCUUGAAGGGCAGCUUCGAAGGGCUCAAGGGAUACGCUGUGGGCCGGAUGACCAAGAGUCGUCGCGGCAAGCUCUACAUCGACGAUGCGGACUGGGGCCCCGAUGCCGGCUCAGUGGAGUACGGGUACCGGGUCCCCUUCGGUGGAAUUCAUGUCUUCAUCGGCAAGAUUGGAGAGCCGGGCCCCGAGCCGGAUCUCCGUGCCGGUCUCAUCGAAACGGCUCAGCGCGCACGACCCGCCCGGGCCCGGCCUGCCUUAAAGCGCGCUUUUGUGGGAUGCAUCCACGGAGGGCCCUCUGAUCCAUCUGGGUCUGGGGAUGAGGCGGCCGCCGGCUCUGACAGCGAGUCGGCCGCUGAUGAGUCAAACUCGUUGUACCAACUUCAAGAUGGCAGGCUCAUGAGUUAUUCCGAUGGCAACAGUAUUCCGGACCUUUUUGAGCCGCCAAGUCAGGUCGGAGUUUUUAUGGCUGGUGAGCAGCCUGUUCAGAACCCCGCUGCCGGAUCGGAAAACCCGGUGCCUUCCCCGGCUCAGGUGCUGAUGGAUCUCACGGAUAAGAUGACGGCCCUGUUAAUCGCCACGGUCGACCCGGCGGAUCAAGUUCAGCAUGAUGCGGCGGUGGCACAGCUAAAAUUGGAUCUGAUAAAAGCUAAAGAGGACCUUGCAGCGGAAGGGAUCAGGCUGGCUGCGGAGCGGGCGGCUCUCGAUGCCCAGACCCAGCUGAUUCAGGCGCAGUCCUUCCAACUCACGAUGGAUCAGAACGCGGCCAAUGAGGUCAUGAGAAGGAGGCAUCAAAAGGCUCAAUCUCGACUCCCGCCGGUCUACGAUCCGCGCAACCUCUUCAACACGCUAGGUGCAGGGUCUAGUCACCCGCCAGGGGUCGUAGCACCCGGGUCUGGACCCCUUAUUCAACCACGAGUGAUGGGGCCUCCCCAGGGGCCCCCUGCCCCGCCUCAGUAUGUGCCAAUACCCCCGGGCCAUUAUAAUAACCCGUUGGAGAACAUGGUCGCCGCAGCGGCACGGCUGGCGGCUCUGCCCGUUGAUGGCUACUCUCCGACGGCUAUUGAGACCUGCCGGGUCAGAGAACUCCUCCAGACAGCGCUGGCGCAGCAAGAGGCGUACUCCUACAGCCGGGAUAGGAUCCAUUCAACCCCUCGUCCAGGGCAGAGCCCGAGUUACAGCCGGCACAUGGUCUCGGCGACCGGCUCAAGUAAUGUCCGACGCCAUGACCCGCCCCCUGGUCAUGGCCCGGCUCAUAAUGGAGCCUUCUACGUAGCAGACCAAGCACGCCAGGAGGUGGAGCAGGCGCCUCAAGUGAUGGCUUACCAGGCCCCCCCGGCUUAUCCGACGAUGUCCGUUGAUGCGGGUAUCCCUACUAGAACUGGGGGUGUCCCGUGUUUGAUGCCAGCUAUCCGUAAUGAACGCCUACCCAAGGACUUCAAAGGACCUAGGAAGGUGCCUAACUAUACAGCAGACUUACAGCCGGCAGCCUGGAUCGAGAGUUAUGAGAUGGCUAUGGAAUUGCUGGAAGUCAGCGAGGCGGCCAUGGCCAAAUAUUUCACCAUGAUGUUAGAUGGAACUGCCCGCACGUGGUUGAAAGGGUUACCGCCGAACUCCAUCGGGUCUUGGGCUGAGCUGAAAGCCCGGUUCAUUCAAAACUUCAAAGAUACCUGCAGGCAAUCUAUGUCAAUCGUGGAUCUGACUAACUGUAAGCAGCAGGAGGGUGAAUCCACGACCCAUUGGGUUCGCCGGGUCAAGGAGAUCAUACAUUCAUCGGAUAAGAUGGAUGCCGGCUCUGCAGUCUUAAUGUUGGAACAAAACUGUCGCUUUGUGCCCCUAAAGAUGAAACUCGGGCGGCUUAAGCGUGACUGUACUGAUAUGGGUACACUGAUGGCAGCUCUUGUCAAGUACGCCAAUUUCGAUGGUACCAAGGAUCCCCCUUCAGAUGAUGAAAGGGCAGGGAAGGGAAAGAAGAACGGCAAUGGCAAGGGUCCUCAGUUUAGCCCGGGGAACCAAGGAGGAGGCAAGCGCAAGGCCGAUGGCAGCCUAGAGUUUGUAGCCAACACCAACUCUCAAGGUAAUAACCAGCGACGCAAGGGGAGGCCCCCUCCCCGAGGCGGCGGGUCAGGACCUUCUCUGGAACAGCUGUUGAAUGAACCUUGUCCGAGACACGGUUCUAGAGAGAAGCCGGCGACUCAUCUGUGGAAGGAUUGUGCUAUCAUGAAGGCCUUUAAAAACUACAAUGGUCCGGGUGGCGGCUCAGGCGCCGGCGGCUUUCAUGGCCCGGGCGGCGGAUCAAAUUCCGGUCCUCAGAACGGUCAAGGGGGCUUUAAUCAACAGUCUGGUCAGGGUCAUCAACAGCAACAGGGGGGCUAUCAGACCAACCCAAAGCAGCUUAGCGGUGGACAGUAUCACGUGUUCACCACUAGUUUGUGCAAACGAGACGAGAAGCUUCACAAGAGGGCUGUUAAUGCUGUUGAGCCGGCGGUUCCACGCUACUUACGGUGGUCGGAGCAGCCCAUAGUGUGGAGUAGGGAGGAUCACCCUCCCCGGGUGGAUAACCCGGGCCACCUGGCCUUAGUGGUGGCUCCUCAAGUGGGAGGCUAUAAGUUCACAAAGGUACUCAUGGAUGGAGGCAGCAGCAUCAACAUCCUCUAUUAUGAGACUUUCCGUCGUAUGGGGCUAGUUGAUAAGAACCUCAGCCAGUCAAAUACUAUCUUCCAUGGUGUGGUACCCGGUAAAUCGGCUUAUCCAGUCGGCAAGAUCGAACUGGAAGUGGCCUUCGGUGAUGAGAACAACUACAGGGUGGAGAAGCUGACCUUUGAGGUGGUCAAGAUAAGAAGUCCUUACCACGCCAUAUUUGGACGGCCGGCUUACGCCAAGUUCAUGGCACGGCCGUGUUAUGUGUACUUACAACUCAAGAUGCCGGGUCACAACGGGACCAUUACGGUUCACGGCAGCCGGAAAGUGGCUCUGGAGUGUGAGGAAGGUGACGCGGCUUAUGCAGAGUCUGUUUGUGCCACAGAAGAGUUGAAAUUUUAUAAAGACAAUGUUGACCCAACAGAUAUGACCUCUCUGAAAAAGCCAACCACGGAGAAUGAACCAGCAAUGAAGUUUAAAUCAGCUAAUGAGACUAAACUUGUUGAUUUUGUUCCAGGUGACUCGUCUCAGCAGUUCAGCAUCAGUGCAAAUCUGGACCCGAAAUAGGAAGGCGCGCUCAUCGAGUUCAUCCGUGAGAAUAGGGACAUCUUCGCAUGGAAACCUUCUGACAUGCCAGGUGUACCUAGAGAACUCGCUGAGCACACUCUCAAUGUUGAUCCAAAAUUUAAGCCGGUCAGACAGUUCCUUCGACGGUUUAACGAAGAGAGGCGAAAGGCUAUUGGUGAAGAAGUGGCCCGGCUUUUGGCGGCCGGGUUCAUUGUUGAGGUUUUUCACCCAGAGUGGUUGGCUAACCCGGUGCUUGUACUUAAGAAGAACGGCACCUGGCGGAUGUGUGUGGACUACACGGACUUGAACAAGGCGUGUCCGGCUGAUCCUUUUGCUCUCCCCCGUAUUGAUCAGAUCAUUGAUGCUACGGCAGGUUGUGCACGCUUAAGUUUCUUGGAUGCCUAUUCCGGGUAUCAUCAGAUUAAGAUGGCAGUUAAGGACCAGGAGAAGACGGCGUUCAUCACUCCCUUCGGAGCCUUCUGCUAUGUCUCUAUGCCCUUUGGGCUCAAGUGUGCACAGGCGACUUACCAGCAUUGUGUACAGAAUUGUCUCCAUAAACAGAUCGGGCGCAAUGUUCACGCUUACGUGGACGAUAUUGUGGUUAAGUCCAUCAAGGAGGAAACCCUGAUAGAUGACUUAAGGGAAACCUUCGAUAAUCUCCGGGUCUACAAGAUGAUGCUUAACCCGGCCAAAUGUGUUUUUGGUGUUCCUGCGGGCAAGCUAUUGGGCUUCUUGGUUUCUGACAGAGGAAUUGAAGCUAACCCGGAGAAGAUCAAAGCUAUCACUUUUCUAGCUAAGCCGGCAUGUAUAAAUGAUGUUCAGCGUUUGGCAGGUCGCAUCGCUGCUUUAAGCCGGUUCAUAAGCCGCUUGGGUGAGAAGGCUAUGCCCUUAUAUCAGUUGAUGAAGAAAACGGAUAACUUUGUCUGGAAUGAUGCAGCUAAUACCGCCUUCGAGGAUUUGAAAAAGCAACUGGCAGAGCCCCCCGUCCUUGCUGCUCCGGUUGAUAAGGAGCCCUUGCUACUGUAUGUGGCGGCAAACACACGAGCCGUCAGUGUGGCUAUGGUAGUGGAGCGUAAGGAGACGGGUAAGGAGCAUCCGGUUCAGCGGCCGGUUUAUUAUGUCAGUGAGGUGCUUAUUGAGUCCAAGCAGCGAUACCCGCACUGGCAGAAGCUUGUAUAUGGUGUGUUCAUGGCGAGCCGGAAACUCAAGCAUUAUUUUCAGGGUCAUCCCAUCACUGUGGUCAGUUCUGCCCCUCUUGGGGAUAUUAUCCAGAACCGAGAGGCUACAGGGAGAAUUGCUAAGUGGGCUAUUGAGCUUGGGCCUCAUGGCCUCAAAUAUGUGCCACGCACUGCUGUUAAGUCUCAGGCUUUGGUGGAUUUUAUUAAUGAUUGGACAGAGUCGCAAGUGCCUGAGCAGAAGCCGGAUAACACCUAUUGGACUAUUCACUUUGAUGGGUCCAGGCAGCUGGAGGGCUCGGGGGCUGGUGUUGUAUUGGCUUCCCCUAGGGGUGACAAGUUCCAGUAUGUGCUACAAUUGAUGUUUCCUUGCACUAACAAUGCGGCUGAAUACGAGGCCUUACUCCACGGUCUUCGGGUGGCUAAGGAGAUGAGCUUAAGCUGGGUACGGUGCUUUGGGGACUCAGAUUUGGUGGUUCAACAAGUAUCAGGCACUUGGGAUUCUAAGGAUCCCCUCAUGGCGGCUUAUCGCCGCGAGGUUGAUGCCAUUGCUGGGCACUUUUAGGGAUAUCAAGUGGAGCACAUUGAUCACAGGAAGAACGAGGCGGCUGAUGCUUUAAGCCGGCUCGGCUCUCAGCGAAAGUCGGUGCCGCCUAACACUUUCCUGGAUGUCUUAUAUAACCCUUCGGUUAAGUUGCCUACAGAGGAGGACUUGGCUAUCCCUGACCCGGAGGCACGACUGGUGGCGGCUCUUCAUGUCAUACCAGACUGGACAAUGCCGUACUUGGUUUAUAUAACCCGGGGAGAGUUGCCUGAGGAUGAAACUUUGGCCAGGCAAAUAAUCCGGCGGGCUAAGUCAAUGAUUGUUAUCAACGGCGAGUUGCAUCAUCGCAGUGUUUCAGGGGUAUUUCAGCGUUGUAUUUCCCCUGAGGAAGGUCAAGAGAUCUUGCGCGAGAUCCAUGAAGGGGAUUGCGGCCAUCAUGCCGGCUCAAAAUCCCUUGUGGCCAAGGCAUUCCGUCAUGGUUUUUAUUGGUUGACGGAUCACGCUGAUGCGGAGGACUUGGUCAGUAAGUGUGAUGGUUGUCAGAGGUUCUCCCGACGGGCUCAUGUGCCGGCUCAGGAAUUGAGGAUGAUCCCGAUCACUUGGCCCUUUGCGGUCUGGGGGCUUGAUAUGGUCGGGCCUUUUAAACGGUCCAAGGAUAAGAAGACCCACCUCUUGGUGGUAGUGGACAAAUUCACGAAGUGGGUGGAAGCUGAGCCAGUUAGCAAGUGUGAUGCAGCCACGGCGGUUCAAUUUAUGAAAAAGGUGAUCUUCCGCUUCGGCUUUCCGCACAGCAUCAUCACAGACAAUGGCACUAAUCUGUCCAAAGGCGCUAUGGAGGAGUUUUGUCAACGAGAGCAUAUCCGGCUUGAUGUUUCUUCAGUGGCUCAUCCCCAGUCCAAUGGUCAAGCUGAGAGAGCUAACCAGGAGAUUCUGAAGGGCAUCAAACCCCGGCUUUUGGUCCCUUUGCAACGGACGCCGGGUUGUUGGGUGGAGGAGUUGCCCUCCGUCUUAUGGAGCAUCAACACUACUCCUAACAGGUCUACUGGCUUCACGCCUUUCUUCAUGGUUUAUGGGGCAGAAGCGGUCCUCCCUAGCGACAUCCGUCACGAUUCACCUCGUGUGGCGACUUAUGUUGAGACGGACAAUGAACAGGCGCGCCAAGUUGCUCUGGACUUGUUGGAUGAACAGCGUGAUGUGGCAGCAGCCCGUUCAGCGAUUUACCAACAAGACCUGCGCCGUUAUCAUAGCCGCCGGGUCAAAACCCGGGUCUUCCAGGAAGGCGACCUUGUGCUUCGGCUCAUCCAGGAUCAAACAGAUGCACACAAAUUAUCCCCACCUUGGGAAGGGCCCUUUGUGGUCAGUAAGAACUUGCACAACGGGUCAUAUUACCUCAUUGAUGUUCGGGAGCGUAAAGAUUCGCGUAAAUCUGAGGAGGAGACCCGUCGGCCGUGGAAUAUCGCUCAGCUUCGGCCUUAUUACACUUGAGCUACCGGCUCUUGUGGUGUACAUAUUUAUCUCAGACAUAUAUAUAUUAUGAUAAGCAAUAAAGCAGGACCUCUGUCCUUUUUUCUCCUCCAAAUAUACGUGUCAUACUAAUUUGAAAGGAGGAUCCGGCUUAUGAUCGCAUUUGAGUCUAGCCGUAAGCAGUGAGAUCACUUGGGGGCUUCUUGUUCAAACAUGGGUCGUAUUCGAACCAAAGAGAACAUAGCUGUCGAUACCCAUUUGAUUGGCAAAGUGCCGAGCUCAUUGGGAGGUUGCCUUUGGUCAUAUUUGAAUCAUAGUGUAACCCCUCUGAGAACCGACGUGGAUCGUAUUCGAAUCAGCGUCGUUAAACAAUUUUCAGAAUCACUUGGGGGCUUCCUGUUCAAACAUGGGUCGUAUUCGAACCCAAGAGAACAUAGCUGUCGGUACCCUCUUGAUUGGCAUCGCCACACCCAUUGGGGGCUAUAUGAUCAUAUCCGAAUCUUGGCUUAAACCCCUUUCGGGCCGGGUCUCUGGUCGAAUUCGAACUGGAAGCCCCUAAGUUCCGAUUUAUCGCAAAGUCUACUCUGAUUAUGACAACGUGUGCAUGGCCGGGUUUCGCUUGACCGGCUUAAUUUUGGAGUUAUCUUAUUAAUUGAACAUCCUGGAUGUCAUCAAGACAAGUCCAUUAGAGUUAAGAUACCAACCAUGCUACCCGGGUCAUUUAAUCCGGAGGGUGGUAAGCCGUCUUGAGACUUGUGAUUUACCUUUCUAUGCAGAUGCUUGAAGGUACUUUUUUAAAGGUUGAGAAGCACGAAGGAUAAUUAUGACCCGGAGGAGCAUCAAAAGAAUGACUUCAAAGGAUUUCAGCAUUCAUUACGUGCACGAUGGCACGGCAGAGAUAAAUUGUGGCACUUAUUCUAUUACAAAAAUCUUUCAAAGUUUCAAGGGUGGAGCGUUGUUUGGUGAGCCGCUAGCCGGUUUAUGACGCCUGCUGAGUCGAAGUCCCCGGCUCAUCUUCUGCUCCGGCUGAUCCCAAGGCUUCGAAGGUCGACGACUUCCAGUUGAUGCCGCUGAGAGCUUCGAACUGAGCUUCUUCGUCAAUUAACCCGGCCGGGUCAAUCUCGGGGGCGUAGGUGUGUUGGCGAGCCGGAGGAAUCAGACUAAGAGCUUCAUAGCGAGGGGUUGGAAUCCUCUGAUUCUCCGCGUUCUACCCCGGCUGAUACUUGGUUAAGUCGGUGUCGUUCCCGAUGAUGGUGGCCAUAGGGCGUACAGCCUUCACGCAUGCCGCGAAAUCCUUCUGGUCGAAGGUGGAGCCGUCUUCCUUCAGGCUGGGGUAACCCAGGGCGAUGUCUGCCGGGUCUAGCUCCGGCAGGAAGGCUUUGGCCCGACUCAGCGCGGCAAUUGCUCCGGAUCUUGCGGAGGCUCGACGUAGCUCUUGGAUUCGCUGUGGCAAAACUGCGAGCCGGCGCAGGACUUCAGCCAGAUGGGUUGGCACCUCAUUGGAUAGGGCCACCACAGCUAAGGCGCGCUGUGACCCGGUGUAGAGUUGUUCCACCAGGGUGUACACGGCCUUUAGCUUGGUGACCACGCUCUGGUUGAGGUUGGCACUCCUGGGACCUGUUUAAUAAAGGUCAGGUAAGCCGGUGACAAGGGUGAAUCGUAACAUGUGCAGACUUGAUGAAAGCCGGUGAGGCGACUUACCGAAGAUAGCAGCCACCAUUUGGGAAACCUGGUGCUUUAGACCGGAGAGCUCAGCGGUCUUCUCAGUGAGGGCCUUCUCCGCCUGUUCUGCCCGGGUCACCAGUGCGGCUUUCUCCUCAGCCCAGGCCUUCCGCUCAGCGUCGAAUUCAGUCUUCAAUUUCUCCUGAGCGGCGAUGCUGGAGACAAAUUUGGCAUUCGCCUUCCGGGUCUCCAUCUCUUGAGUUUUUAACCGGCUCUUGAGACCCGCAAGGUCCGACUCAAAUUUCUUGCCAGUGGCCUGCAUAUAUUUCCGGGUUAUUAAGCAGUCAUUAUAUAAGUCCCAAGCACUUUCCAAGCAAAGACACUUGGCACUUGGGGGCUAAUGCAUAUUGAACGUGUCUAUCUACGUACUGCUAGUUCAAUUAAGUAAGCCGGACUCUAAGUCUACAACAUAUGCUGAGUAUAAGUUAUAGACUUGGGGGCUAGCAUGACAAGGAUCACUAUGCGGAAAGUAAGAAGAUAGCAGAAGGUUACCUCAGACUUUUGUUGGAUCUGAUUGACCAUGGCGAUCUCCGCGUCCCGGCUCUUGUGAACCUGGCUGAUGUAGCCAGAAACAAGCUCUCCAAUGCUCAAAUCGGUGUAGCCCGAGAGAUCCAGAUUCACCCGGUGGGGUUGCAGCAGCUCCCCCUUCGCGGAGCAUUGGGCCAGUGCGGUCGGCCUCCCCGGCUCAACAUACUCCGUCCGGGUAAUUACCACGUCCGGGUCGUUAGCCGGUGGGGUUGAGCCGGAGGCCUCCGGAUUAGCUGACGCUUCGGUCGUUGUCUUGGCGGUCGGGGCAGGGGCUUCAGGCGUCGUAUCCAUGGGAAUGGUGGCCUCGGAGGCGGCUGGCGGAUCUUGAGCCGUCGUCUCCGGCUCAGGCAAGUCCGGCACUCCGGCUGACCUGGUCUUCUUUGCUCUUUUGGUGAGCUUUGCCUGGGCACUGAAAAGACAGAAGUGUUAGGCAUACAAAGAGUAAAUACAGACAGAUAAUGUAAGGUGAUUGUUAUUACCCGGGUGCAGUCUUGAAGGCCGGCAGACUUGACUGCAUGGAGUCACCCGAAGAGGGGGAGGUCUCCUGGUAAUUGGAGUCAGAAGAAUUAAGUGGUUGACGGAUAACACCCGCCAACGGAUGAACAGGGUACAAGUGAGAAAAGACCUCGGUGCGACGCUUCCUUGUCGCGUCGGGUAACCCGGCGGAGAGGUCGGUGUCCUUGCGGGCCCGGGUGAGACGCCGGCUUUCGUGAACCUGCUGCUUCAAAAGAAAUUGAGGGCCUUGAUGAGCUAAUGGAUGAGAAAAGCUUACUUUCCGGGUUACCCUUCGGACUUUCAGCUGUGGCAAAGGCUCCGAGUCGGAGGGGAGUAAUGUUACCUCUUCAAUCACCGGGUUACUGGCGCCGGUGUCAUCCUGUCAAUAAGCAAAAUGAUGGUGAAGUGGACAGCAGCAAACAAUAAAUAUGGCAAGAGUUUAAAGGUUUAAGGGUUACCUCUGACUCGGAGCUAUCGCUUAAUUGCAGCAGCUCCGAAGCAGUGGGUCUGUUUCACUUUUUGCGAGGGGCGGCUCUCUUGGCGGCUUUCUUCGCCUUCCUGGCCUUCUUGGCCGCCUCAUGGUCAUACUUGACCCGCCAGAAUUUAUCAUCAGCCUGAGAAAUACAGUAAUGAGUUCUUAGUAAGAUGACAGGUAAAAAAAAAUAGAAAGGUUAAAGUCAGCGGCUUACCGCUGGGGCUGGAUUGGUCUUGCAGAACGGGGCUAGCCCGGUUCUUCCACAGUCUGCCAGGCUCUCGUUUAAUAGAGCCUUGGUCUCUUCUUCGGCAACGUCUUCUGGAAGGUCGUUGCGACUGUGCCUCUGCGGGUCAUCCUUUCGCCCAGUGUACUCACACAUUAAGCCGGGGCGGCGGCUCAAUGGGAUCACCCGCCAUGAGAUCCAGACCCGGACCAGGUCUAUUCCGUUCAGACCGUUGCCUAGCAGGGCCUUGAUCUUAUUGAUCGUUGGAAGCAGAGGCUGGCGUUCCGCGGCAGUCAGCUUGUCGGAUAGCGGAUGAGUCGGCUCCAGGCGCGUUGGGCGAAAGCCGGGCAGCGGGCUCUCAUCAGCCGGGGACGUGUCUUGGCAGUAGAACCAAGUCAUGUUCAAGUCCUUGGGGUGACUUGGCGGUUCUACGUAAGGAAAUAGACCGUCCCUGCGCCGUUGGAUGGAGAUGCCGCCUAACUCUAGACUUGGACCGUUUGCGCACUCGGUUUGGCGGUUCAAAUAAAACAGCUCUCUGAAGAGCAGCAGACUCGGCUCUUCUCCAAGAUAUACUUCACAAAAAACUUGGAAGUUGCAGAUGUUGGAUAUGGAAUUGGGUCCUAUAUCCUGAGGCCGAAGGUCAAAGAAGUUGAGCACGUCCCGGAAGAAUUUUGAGCCGGGCGGUGCGAAGCCCCGACUCAUAUGGUCUGCAAAGAUCACUACCUCCCCGUCCCUCGGCUGAGGUCUUUCUUCGGACGGGUCAGGGGCACGGUAGGACAUCACUUCCUUCUUGGGCAGAUAUCCGGACUUAACAAAGUUGGCCAGGGUCUCUUCGGUGACGUUGGAUUUCAUCCAGUUGCAAGUGAUGGGAGCCUUGGGAGGCAUGGUGACGGUUGGUGGUCUAUGAGGAAGAGAAAGGUGUCUGGGUUAAUUAUAAGCCGGGGAUUAUCAUUCAAACUACAGUGACGGCUUAUGAAGGGGACUAAUGAUAUAUAUUGAUAUGGUGGGUUAUCUAAGCUGUCGGGGCUUUCAGGUUAAGUUGGUCAUCUACGGCUUACUGCAGUUAAGUCGGAGGAUUUUACAGAGCAUGGUUCUCUUUAAACCGGACAUGUAAGCCGCCGAGAUUCAAUGGUUGCGUUUUUACUAAGUGUGGUAAACAGGUUUCACAUACUACCGUAACUAUCUUGGAUCAAAAUAGUCGGAGCAGAGAAAAUUUUCUAGACCUAAAAAACAGAGGCAGGAGAAGUUCUUGAGGUUGAACACAGUUCUUAUGCAGUAAAAAGAGGAUUUCUUGCAGAUGAAAUGAGUUCCGAACGUCUACCACAGUGGUUUUACGCAAGGAUAAAGAUCAACCGACUACAGUGGUGACGAGGACUGCCGAGUUUCUGGGCAAAGGUGACGAACACGAAGAACGGGAGGAACCCUACCACAGAUCUGUUCUAGCAAGGCAGAGAAGACUCACCGGAGUUGAGGAAGAGCGAAGGUCGCCGCCGUUAUCUGGUCCGGGUCAGGGUGAUGCAGCGACCGGGUCGAUGAAGAUCAGGGGCGCGACGGCGGCGGCGGCGGCAGAAGCUCGGGCAGAGGAACGACAGCGCGAGGAAGAAGAAGGAGAGUGUGAGAAGAGAGUGCUGGGCUAGCCUAUUUAUAAGGCAAGUCAUAAGUGGGCGCGAUAUUCAAGGAGACCACGGCGUGGUUAUCUCCCCCUCACGGCGCCUCGAUUUUCGGAAAGACAGUAACAGCAGAGAUCCGUUGCGGAUCUGGCGGAGUAAAAAACGGACUUAAUGGAGGAUGACGUCACGGCGGAUUAUCCGGAGUCCGGAGAAUGACGUCACUCCGGGUUAUGGCCUUCACACGAACGGUAAGCCAGAGAUUUUUCUGUCGGCAGAGUUGAAGAUUGACACGAGCCGGCUCAAGUCAAUCUAGGGCCUAAUGUUGAGGAUAUACACCUGGGAGUCACCCGCCAGGAGGGCCGGGUUACUCGUAGGGUCAUUGCCAGAAGCCCGGAGCCAAGUUCCAAGAUGAUGGGCCAGAGAUGGGCUGAGACCCGGAUAUGGCUUAAAAGCCCGUAGUACAAUCUUCAUUGUUAUAGUAGACUUGUAGUGUAAGGCAAGUAAUGUUUAGAGUCCGAGCCGGACACUCUUAUGAGCCGGCCGGGACUCUAAGGGCCGCUGGGUGUCAACCUCCCUAUAUAAAGGGACGACCCGGCAGCGGUUUAGGGGCGACAACAAUCUGAUCGAGAACCGGGCAUAGCUGUUUAGCUCCCUGGUUAUCGAAACCCUGAUUAAUACCACCUCAACUGGACGUAGGCUUUUACCUUCACCGUAAGGGGCCGAACCAGUAUAAACCCUCGUGUUCCUUGUCCCACUUAACCCCUUCAAGCUUCCCAAUUGCGAUGGCUCCACGACUAAGUCCUAACCCGAGGACAUCUACCAUGACAAUUCCACGACAUCCCUCGUGUUCCCUUUCUGUCACUGGGAUCGAGCACCGCAAGAUUGAACCCAAAGCUAAGCACUUCUCCCAUUGCAAGAAAGAUCAAUCUAGUAGGCCAAACCAAACUGAUAGUUCGAAGAGACUUGCAAAGAUAUUAAAUCAUGCAUAUAAGAAUUCAUCGAAGAAUCAAAUAUUGUUCAUAGAUAAUCUUGAUCAUAAACCCACAAUUCAUCGGAUCUCGACAAACACACCGCAAAAGGUAUUACAUCGAAUAGAUCUCCAAGAAAAUCGAGGAGAACUUUGUAUUGAGAACCAAAGAGAAAGAGAGAGAAGAAGCCAUCUAGCUAAUACCUAUGGACCCCAAGGUCUGUGGUAAACUACUCACACAUCAUCGGAGAGGCUAUGGUGUUGAUGUAGAAGCCCUCCGUGAUCGAAUCCCCCUCCGGCAGAUCGCCGAAAAAGGCCCCAAGAUGGGAUCUCACGGGUACAGAAGGUUGCGGCGGUGGAAAAGUGGUUUCAUGGCUCUCCUGGAUGUUUUCAGGGUAUAAGAGUAUAUAUAGGCGAAAGAAGUACGUCGGUGGAGCUACAAGGGGCCCACGAGGGUGGGGGCGCGCCUACCCCCUGGGCACGCCCUCCUGCCUCGUGGCCACCUCGUUGCUUCCUUGACUUCCACUCCAAGUCUCCUGGGUUGCGUUUAUUCCAAGAAAGAUCCUCGCGAAGGUUUCAUUCCGUUUGGAUUCCGUUUGAUAUUCGUUUUUUGCGAAACACUGAAAUAGGCAAAAAACAGCAAUUUGCACUGGGCCUUCGGUUAAUAGGUAGUCCCAAAAAUAAUAUAAAAGAGCAUAUUAAAGCCCAUUAAACAUCCAAAAUAGAUAAUAUAAUAGCAUGGAACAAUCAAAAAUUAUAGAUACGUUUGAGACGUAUCAAGCGUCCCCAAGCUUAAUUCCUGCUCGUCCUCGAGUAGGUAAAUGAUAAAAAACAGAAUUUUUGAUGUGGAAUGCUACCUAACAAAAUUUUCAAUGUAAUUUUAUUUAUUGUGGCAUGAAUGUUCAGAUCCGAAAGAUUCAAGACAAAAGUUUAGUAUUGACAUAAAAAUAAUAAUACUUCAAGCAUACUAACUAAGCAAUUAUGUCUUCUCAAAAUAACAUGGCCAAAGAAAGCUCAUCCCUACAAAAUCAUAUAGUUUGGCUAUGCUUCAUUUUCGUCAGACAAAAUGCUCUCAUCAUGCACAACCCCGAUGACAAGCCAAGCAAUUCUUUCAUACUUCAGUAUUUUCAAACUUUUUCAACUUACAAGCAAAGCAUGAGCGUGAGCCAUGGACAGAGCACUAUGGGUGGAAUAGAAUAUGAUUAUUGAGGUUGUGUGGAGAAGACAAAAAGGGAGAAAGUCUCACAUCGACGCGGCUAAUCAACGGUCUAUGGAGAUCCCAUCAAUUGAUGUUAAUGCGAGGAGUAGGGAUUGCCAUGCAACGGAUGCACUAGAGCUAUAAAUGUAUGAAAGCUCAACAAAAGAAACUAAGUGGGUGUGCAUCCAACUUGCUUCCUCACGAAGACCUAGGGCAUUUGAGGAAGCCUAUUGUUGGAAUAUACAAGCCAAGUUCUAUAAUGAAAAAUUCCCACUAGUAUAUGAAAGUGACAAAAUAAGAGACUCUCUAUCAUGAAGAUCAUGGUGCUACUUUGAAGCACAAGUGUGGAAAAAAAGGAUAGCGGCAUUGUCCCUUCUCUCUUUUUCUCUCUCUUUUUUUGGGCCUUUCUUUUUUUGGCCUUUCUCUUUUUUUCCUCACACGGGACAAUGCUCUAAUAAUGAUGAUCAUCACACUUAUAUUUAUUUACAACUCGAUACUAGAACAAAACAUGACUCUAUAUGAGUGCCUCCGGCGGUGUACCCGGAUAGGCAAUGAAUCAAGAGUGACAUGUAUGAAAAAUUAUGCAUGGUGGCAUUGCCACAAAUACGAUGUCAACUACAUGAUCAUGCAAGGCAAUAUGACAAUGAUGAAGCGUGUCAUAAUAAACGGAACGGUGGAAAGUUGCAUGGCAAUAUAUCUCGAAUGGCUAUGGAAAUGCCAUAAUAGGUAGGUAUGGUGGCUGUUUUGAGGAAGAUAUAAGGAGGUUUAUGUGUGAUAGAGCGUAUCAUAUCACGGGGUUUGGAUGCACCGGCGAAGUUUGCACCAACUCUCAAGGUGAGAAAGGGUAAUGCACGGUACCGAAGAGGCUAGCAAUGAUGGAAGGGUGAGAGUGCGUAUAAUCCAUGGACUCAACAUUAGUCAUAAUGAACUCAUAUACUUAUUGCAAAAAUCUACAAGUCAUCAAAACCAAGCACUACACGCAUGCUCCUAGGGGGAUAGAUUGGUAGGAAAAGACCAUCGCUCGUCCCCGACCGCCACUCAUAAGGAAAGCAAUCAAAGAACACCUCAUGCUUCAAAUUUGACACACAACGUUUACCAUACGUGCAUGGUACGAGACUUGCAAACCUCAACACAAGUAUUUCUCAAAUUCACAAUUACUCAACUAGCAUGAUUCUAAUAUUACCAUCUUCAUAUCUCAAAACAAUCUUCAACUAUCUAACUUCUCAUAGUAUUCAAUGCACUCUAUAUGGAAGUUUUUAUUAUACCCAUCUUGGAUGCUUACCAUAUUAGGACUAAUUUUAUAACCAAAGCAAAUUACCAUGCUGUUCUAAAAGACUCUCAAAAUAAUAUAAGUGAAGCAUGAGAUAUCUAUAAUUUCUAUAAAAUAAAACCACCACCGUGCUCUAAAAUGAUAUAAGUGAAGCACUAGAGCAAAAUUAUCUAGCUCAAAAGAUAUAAGUGAAGCACAUAGAGUAUUCUAAUAAAUUCAGAUUCAUGUGUGUCUCUCCAAAAGGUGUCCACCUUAAGGUACUAUAAUGAACUCAGUAAUUACUUAUAUUCGUGUUAAACCUACUAUAUUCCAACUUCUCUAUGGUUCAUACCCCCCAAUACUGGCCACAGAUUCAUCAAAAUAAGCAAACAACACACGAAAAACAGAAUCUGUCAAAAAACAGAACAAUCUGUAAUAAUCAGAUUUGUAAGAAUACUUCUGGAACUCAAAAAAUUCUGAAAAACUAGUACAACCUGGAUAAUUUGUAUAAGGAUCUACUGCAAAACGAAUUGGUAUUUUAUCACGUUCUGGUGAAUUUUAACAAUCAUUUUCGUGAGUGCAAAGUUUCUGUCUUUUUCAGCAAGAUCAAACAACUAUCACCCAAAAAGAUCCUAUUGGUUCUACUUGGCACAAACACUAAUUAAAACAUAAAACCACAUCUAAAAAAAAGCUAGAUGAAUUAUUUAUUACUAAACAGGAACAAAAAUCAAGGAACAAAAAUAAAAUUGGGUUGCCUCCCAACAAGCGCUAUCGUUUAACGCUCCUAGCUAGGCAUAAAAACAAGAAUAGAUCUAAGUAUUGUCAUUUUUGGUAUGCAAUCCAUAAGUGGCCCUCAUAAUAGAUUCAUAAGGUAAUUUAAUUUCUUCCUAGGAAAGUGUUCCAUGCCUUUCCUUAACGGAAAUUGGAAUCUAAUAUUUCCUUCUUUCAUGUCAAUAAUUGCACCAAUCGUUCUAAGGAAAGGUCUACCAAGAAUAAUAGGACAUGUAGGAUUGCAAUCUAUAUCAAGAACAAUGCAAUCUACGGGCACGUAAUUCCUAUUUGCAACAAUAAGAACACCAUUAAUCCUUCCCAUAGGUUUCUUAAUGGUGGAAUCCGCAAGAUGCAAAUUUAAAGAACAAUCAUCAAAUUCACGGAAACCUAGCACAUCACACAAAGUUUUUGGAAUCGUGGAAACACUAGCACCCAAAUCACAUAAAGCAUAGCAUUUAUAAUCUUUAAUCUUAAUUUUAAUAGUAGGUUCCCACACAUCAUAAAGUUUUCUAGGGAUAGAAACUUCUAAUUCAAGUUUUUCUUCAUAGGAUUGCAUUAAAGCAUCAACGAUAUGUUUAGUAAAGGCUUUAUUCUGAUCAUAAGCAUGAGGAGAAUUUAACACGGAUUGCAACAAGGAAAUACAAUCUAUCAAAGAACAAUUAUUAUAAUUGAAUUCCUUGAAAUCCAAAAUGGUGGGUUCAUUGCUAUGUAAAGUUUUGACCUCUUCAAUCCCACUUUUACCAAUUUUUGCAUCAAGAUCUAAAAACUCCGAAUCAUUGGGACGCCUUUUAACUAAAGUUAACUCAUCUCCAGUCCCAUAUUUAUCAAGAAUCAUAUUGGAAAACAAAGAUUUAAUAGGAGACACAUCAAUCACUUUUAGAUCUUCAUCAUUAUUGUCAUAAAAACUAGAACAACACGCUUUCACAAAGCAAUCUUUUUUAGCACGCAUCCUAGCGGUUCUUUCUUUGCUCUCAUCAAUAGAAAUUAUCAUAGAUUUGAGAGACUCAUUGAUAUCAUGCUUAGGUGGAAUAGAUCUAAGUUUCAAAGAAUCAACAUCAAGAGAAAUUCUAUCCACGUUCCUAGCCAACUCAUCAAUCUUAGGCAAUUUUUCUCCAAGUAAAGCAUUGAAAUUCUUUUGCGAAAUCAUAAAUUCCUUAACACUAGUCUCAAAAUCAGAGGGCAUCUUAUUAAAAUUUCCAUAAGAUUUGUUGUAGGAAUUACCAUAAUUAUUAGAGGAAUUACUAGGGAACAGCCUAGAAUUAAAGUUUCCUCUAUACGCGUUAUUACCAAAGUUGUUCCUGCCAACGAAAUUCACGUCCAUAGAUUCAUUAUUAUUCUCAAUCAAAGUGGACAAAGGCAUAUCAUUAGGAUAAGAAGAAACACUCUUAUUAGCAAACAAUUUCAUAAGUUCAUCCAUCUUUCCACUCAAAACAUUAAUAUCUUCAAUCGCAUGAACCUUUUUACUAGUGGAUCUUUCGGUGUGCCAUUGAGAAUAAUUAACCAUAAUAUUAUCUAGGAGUUUAGUAGCUUCUCCUAAAGUGAUUUCCAUAAAAGUGCCUCCCGCGGCCGAAUCUAAAAGAUUUCUAGAAGCAAAAUUCAUUCCGGCAAAAAAAAUUGUAUAAUCAUCCAUAAAUUCAAACCAUGUGUAGGGAAAUUACGUAUCAUUAAUUUCAUCCUCUCCCAAGCUUGUGCAACAUGCUCAUGAUCAAGUUGCUUAAAAUGCAUAAUAUCGUUUCUAAGAGAGAUGAUCUUAGCGGGAGGAAAAUACUUAGAGAUAAAAGCAUCUUUGCAGCUAUUCCAUGAAUCAAUACUAUUUUUAGGCAAAGAAGAGAACCAAGUUUUAGCACGAUCUCUAAGCGAAAACGGAAAUAGCUUCAAUUUAACAAUAUCAUUAUCCACAUCUUUCUUCGUUUGCAUAUCGCACAGAUCAACGAAGUUGUUUAGAUGGGCAGCAGCAUAUUCACUAGGAAGGCCAGAAAAUUGAUCUUCCAUGACGAGAUUCAACAAAGCAGGAUUAAUUUCACAAGAUUCAGCAUCAGUAAUAGGAGCAAUUGGAGUGCUAAUAAAAUCAUUGUUGUUGGUAUUGGAAAAUUCACACAAUUUAGUAUUAUCUUGAGCCAUCGUGACAAACAAUGAAUCCAACACACAAGCACAGAAGAAGCAACCAAAAAGAGACGAACGGAAAAAAGGUCGAAUAAAACGGCAAAGGUGAAGUGGGGGAGAGGAAAAAUGGAGGCAAAUGGCAAAUAAUGUAAUGCGAGGGAGAAGAGUUUGUGAUGAGUACUUGGUAUGUCUUGACUUGUGCAUAGAUCUCCCCGCAACGGCACCAGAAAUCCUUGUUGCUACCUCUUGAGCAUGUGUUGGUUUUCCCUUGAAGAGGAAAGGGUGAUGCAGCAAAGUAGCAUAAGUAUUUCCCUCAGUUUUUGAGAACCAAGGUAUCAUCCAGUAGGAGACUACACGCAAAUCGCCUAGUACCUGCACAAACAAUCAAGAACCUUGCAACCAACGCGAUAAAGGGGUUGUCAAUCCCUUCACGGCCACUUGCAAAAGUGAGAUCUGAUAAAGAUAAUAAGAUAAAUAUUUUUGGUAUUUUUGUUGUAUAGAUUGAAAAGUAAAGAUUGGAAAAUAAAUAGAUAUUAAACGAGAAUUAUAGAUCGGAAACUUAUAUGAUGUAAAGUAGACCCGGGGGGCAUAGGUUUCACUAGUGGCUUCUCUCAAGAUAGCAUAUAUUACGGUGGGUGAACAAAUUAGUGUCGAGCAAUUGAUAGAAAAGCGCAUAGUUAUGAGAAUAUCUAGGCAUGAUCAUGAACAUAUGCAUCACAUCCGCAUCAAGUAGACCGAAACGAUUCUGCAUCUACUAUUACUCCACACAUCGACCGCUAUCCAGCAUGCAUUUCGAGUAUUAAGUUCAUAAGAACAGAGUAACGCAUUAGGCAAGAUGACAUGAUGUAGAGGGAUAAACUCAAGCAAUAUGAUAUAAACCCCAUCUUUUUAUCCUCGAUGGCAACAAUACAAUAUCUGUCGGUUCCCUUUCUAUCACUGGGAUCGAGCACCGCAAGAUUGAACCCAAAGCUAAGCACUUCUCCCAUUGCAAGAAAGAUCAAUCUAGUAGGCCAAACCAAACUGAUAAUUCAAAGAGACUUGCAAAGAUAUUAAAUCAUGCAUAUAAGAAUAUAGAGAAGAAUCAAAUAUUGUUCAUAGAUAAUCUUGAUCAUAAACCCACAAUUCAUCGGAUCUCAACAAACACACCGCAAAAAGUAUUACAUCGAAUAGAUCUCCAAGAAAAUCGAGGAGAACUUUGUAUUGAGAACCAAAGAGAGAGAAGAAGCCAUCUAGCUAAUAACUAUGGACCCGAAGGUCUGUGGUAAACUACUCACACAUCAUUGGAGAGGCUAUGGUGUUGAUGUAGAAGCCCUCCAUGAUCGAAUCCCCCUCCAGCAGAUCGUCGGAAAAGGCCCCAAGAUGGGAUCUCACAAGUACAGAAGGUUGCGGCAGUGGAAAAGUGGUUUCGUGGCUCUCCUGGAUGUUUUCAGGGUAUAAGAGUAUAUAUAGGUGAAAGAAGUAGGUCGGUGGAGCUAUGAGGGGCCCACGAGGGUGGGGGCGCACCCUCCUGCCUCGUGGCCGCCUCGUUGCUUCCUUGACUUCCACUCCAGGUCUCCUGGGUUCCGUUGGUUUCAAGAAAGAUCCUUGCGAAGGUUUCCUUCCGUUUGUAUUCUGUUUGAUAUUCCUUUUCUGCGAAACACUGAAAUAGGAAAAAAACAGCAAUUUGCACUGGGCCUUCGGUUAAUAGGUUAGUCCCAAAAAUAAUAUAAAAGAGCAUAUUAAAGCCCAUUAAACAUCCAAAACAGAUAAUAUAAUAGCAUGGAACAAUCAAAAAUUAUAGAUACGUUGGAGACGUAUCACCUACCAAUGGGAACAACUAGGGCAAAAUUAAUUGACUUCAUGACUCUGGUAGAUUGCAUGGAAAGGAGGCUCACUGCCAGCUCAUGGUUCUUGCUACAAGGGGGGGUUGCAAUUGCUUAAUUCUGUGAUCUCUUCUAUGCCAAUUUUCUUGUUAUGUAGCUUGCAAAUUCCUCCUGGUAUUUUGACACAAUUGGAAAGGAUGCAGAGGCAAUGCUUAUGGAGGAAAUAUGGUCAGGAUACUGGACAAUCCCUAGCUGCUUGGCCCCUAGUUUGCAGGCCAAAAAAUAGAGGAGGUCUUGGAAUUCUGAAUCUCGGUGUGCAAAAUGAUGCUUUAUUGCUCAAACACCUGCACAAGUUUUAAAACAAAAUGGAUAUUCCAUGGGUGAACUUAAUAUGGAACUCUUACUAUUUUGAUAGAGUGCCCCAUGACACCACCUUGUGUGGAUCUUUCUGGUGGAGAGAUGUCUCCAAACUUAUGGACAAUUUCAGAGCUGUUUCUCUAAUCCAAGUUAACAGUGGAGAUACUGCCCUGUUUUGGAAAGAUGGCUGGACUGGUCCUCCUAGUUUGUUGCUCCAAGAUAAAUUUAAAAGGCUUUUCUCCUACUGCUUAGAUCAGAACAUUUCUGUACAGCAAGUGCUCAAUACUGAGAAUCUUUUGGGGCUCUUCCAGCUGCCUUUAUCUGAGCAGGCCUAUAUGGAGUUUCAAUGCCUUUCUCAAGCUCUUGAUGGAUUUGCUGGAGAUAGAUUGCUGCCUGACUGCUGGUCUUGGAAUGAUAGCAAAAGGACACAAUACAUAGCCAAGAAAUAUUAUGAUCUGGUCCACAACCCCAUUGUGGCAAACCCUUUGUUGAAUUGGAUAUGGAAAAGUUGUUCUACUAUGUCCAUUAAAAUGUUUGCUUGGCUAGUUAUUAUGGAGAGAGUCAACACCAAGGAUAUGAUUCAGAGAAGACACUUGAGGAUUGAGGAUGGGCCUGAAUGUGUCUUAUGCAGAGCUGGUUUAUUGGAGGAUAGAAAUCAUCUGUUCUUCCAAUGUAAUUUCAGUACCAGAGUCUGGAACUAUUUGCAGAUAUACUGGCCUCCUAACUCUGACAUGGUGGACAUUGUAGUUCAGGCCAAAGUGGAUUUUGCCAAACCCUUCUUUGCUGAAGUGGUCUUUUUAUCAUGGUGGAAUAUCUGGAUGGUCAGAAAUGACAAGAUUUUCAGAAAUAUAAAACCAACCUUUGGUAGAUGGAAGGCUGGCUUCAUUCAUGAUAUCUCCCUGAUGGCACACAGGAUAAAAUCAAGACAUAAGGAGGAGCUUCUUCAUUGGAUUUCUUUCCUACCACCUUGAGGGAUUCCCUGCCCUUCUUAUUCUUUUCUGUUUUAUAGUUUAGCCUAGCUUUUUCUUUUGUUUGCCACUGCUUAUGGCUCUGUAAUUAUGGCUUGUACUUUAUUCUAUUUUUUAUAAAAUGCUGUGGGGCCAAACCCUGCAGUUUCCAUUCAAAAAAAAGAGACUCUUUGUUAUUUGGUUGCAGGGUUGUUUGAGAGAGACCAUCUUCAUCCUAUGCCUCCCACGAAUUGAUAAACUUUAGGUCAUCCACUUGAGGGAAAUUUGCUACUGUCCUACAAACCUCUACACUUGGAGGCCCAACAACAUCUACAAGAAGAAGGUUGUGUAGUAGACAUCAGUGGCCCGACUGGGCCUAGGCCGAAUGGGGUGGCUGGCGCAGCUCACUCUCUCUAGAUUUCUCUUUUCGGAAAAAUAGAGAGAGAACAAUGGAAUUAAGAGAAGAGGUCAUGGAGAAGAAUAAAAUGGUUGGACAUUUUUUAAGUAUUUAUGGAAUAUUUCCAACCCAAAAAAGUGGUUUCAACAAAUUAGGAGAAGUUAAAACAAAACUUAUUUGACUUGAGCCAAAGGAGUUAUGGAUGGAGGCUAGGCUUUAGGAGUGUCCAAAAAUGUUAAGAAUUAUGGUGGGGCUUGGGAAUUGAAUAAAAGAAUUAAGGGCAAAUUUUGGGGACCAAACUUGUAGUAAAAAAUGAGAAUUAAAUUGCAAGUGUGUUUGGUUGGGUUUUUGUUUAGGUUGCAAAAAAAUUAUGGCAUGAUGACAUGAUGCAAUGCAAAAAUAAAAUACCUCAAACAAUAUAAUAGCAAUCAUGGAAAAAAAUCGGCAUCGAGCUAUUACAAAAUCACUUAUCGUGUUCAAGUUCACACUACCCGUGCCAUUAUAUACAGAGUUUUCUUAAUCCAACCAUACCAAUUAGGUCGAAAACCACUCAUAAAAACAUGACACUCCAUCAGGAAAUUCCAAUUAACUUUGUCGUUUAAAAUCAAGUUUAAGAACAAUGCCAACUUACUUUUAAACUGGAGUGUGAUGUAAAUCUAAUGAAGGGACACUGUGGAUGUUCAUUUGCAAAAUGUAGUUGGCAAUGUUUCACAAACUUUGGAUUGGAAAACACAAAUAAAACCAAAUAAAACACAGAUGAAAAACAAAAAGGACUGGCGGGCCAUGAGUAUUUUGGCCCACCUAACCUACUCUAACCCUAGGUAGGAAGAAAGUUCCAUCCCCAUCCUCACUCCACAGUACACACUCACGCGCGCACUCUCCACUCGAAACCCUCGUGCCCACCGGCGGCAGCCAUGAACCCAGCGAUGGCGGCUGAGCUCCGGCGAUGCAAGAGUGAAUCGAUGCUCUUCUCCCGCCUGCUCUCCUUCGCCCACGACAUCCUCCCCGACCCGCCCGUCUUCGCCCCCGCUUGCCUCUCCGCCCUCCUCCUCCCCCAUGACGACCGCAUCAGCCGCCUGCCCGAUGCGCUCCUCCGCAACACCGUGUGUGUGUGUGUGUGUGUUGGUCUGGAUGUUUUACAUAGUAGAGAUCAUAACUAAGUAUCUGUUGUGUAUAUGUUUAGAUUGUUUAUUUUUUUUCAGAUGUUUUUUUAAUGCGCUUAUGUUCAGUCUCAGAGAUUGUCUUGUGUAUAAUGUUGUGUAUACCUUUUAUUGUUCGGAUUUUUAUGUGCUAGGGGGGAUGAUACGCUGAAUUACUAACUAGUAGUAGAAAUUCUCUUCUAGGUAGUGGCAUGAUUUUAGUUUCUUCUAUGUCAUACUUUGUCAUGCCCCUCUUUGUUUAAACUUGCUUUUCAACACUAAUGUAUUAUAUACAUUUAUGAAUACAGUAGCGCACGGGCACUAACAUGGAUAACGAAGGAUGCGAACCUGAGAACGACGAAAUUGCAUAAGGCAAAGAGCUGUGUCCUGAAGAUCAAGAGUUAGAACAGAGAGGAUAUCAUGUAGAAAUCACUUACACGGAAGCGUCAGAGGAUUUUCUUUUGAAGAAGUCGCUACACUGGUUUGUAAAUAAUUUGCUUCCUAAGAAAAAAUGUUUUCUUCCUAGUUAACAAACAUUUGUUUCUAUCAUAGUUACAAUAGAGUAAAUAAUUUGCCUCGAAAGGGAACAAUGUUUGAUUCCAAUGAAACUAGAAGUUGCUCCCAUAUACAACAGGAAUGUGUCAUAGAAUUAGGUUGCGCCAUCUGGACAUACUACCACCACGCAGUCCACCUCAAAUAGCAGUGCACAUUUGUUGGGACACGCUAGCAGGACCAUCGAAACAUCAGUCUGCUUUGCUAACAAAGGUCAAUUAGCAUAGCACACCGUCGGGGCCAUAGAAGCGCAUCCGCUUGGAUGACACAUGCUUGAACUUGGUCGACGACCUGCAACAGUAACCUUCUACUUGUGGGAAAUCACCAUGUGGUGGUAAAUCAUCUCCUAUAAGUAACAAAAUGAGACAUAAGUUUCAUGCAUGUAUUUGUUCAGAAUGUGUAGCAUGUAAAUUUGGAAGCAUAAUAGGGUUUGUGCUUAAGCGAUUAUUGUACGUAGGACAUAUGGAGAAAAUAAUAAAACACAAAACAUUAGGAUGGAAGCUUAGCAAAAGAUAAGUUGAAGCGCUUACUAAGUAUUAAUGAAGCAUUCAAAUUUAGCAAUGUCAUGGCUAUAGUUAUGAAGCAUCUAGAAAGAAGGAUUGAAGCAUCACAGGAGAUGAAAGAAGCACCACUCACAUGAAGCAAUAUUUUAUUAAUUUGGAAACAUUGUACAAAAGUGGGAACCAUGGAAGCAAACUAGCUACACAAUAGAAGCAUGUGUAGUUAGCUUUCAAAGAAAGGAAUAAUCACUAGUAUAGAAGCUCAUGCAAGAAAUAAAGUGAUUUGUAACAACAACUAAUUUGGCAACCUGAUCUAACAUUGGAAACAAAGAAAUCUGAAAGGUGCGGACUUGCAUUAUAUGCAAUAUAUAUAUAUAUAUAUAUAUAUAUAUAUAUAUAUAUAUAUAUAUAUAUAUAUAUAUAUAUAUAUAUAUAUAUAUAUACACACAUGUAUGAACUGUAGGAAGCAUGAUAACAAUGUUUAAGUACAAACAACGGUCUUACAACGUAACAAGUACAAAAAAGUAGAAGCAUGUUGUAUUGCAGCAAACUAUCUGUACUGAACACAAUCAGUAAACGUCGAUAGCACGGAUAGACAAUGCAGCAAAUUCUUGAUAUCUCAACAUACUCAUGGCUAGUGUAAGCACAACAUUUGGAAACUGAAAUUAGCAACGCCUAGGGGCAACAUGUGUGUGCAUCGUUUUGUGAUGUACAAACCAAUUUCUUCAAUUUUGGUGAUUUUGUUAGGCUACACACAUUGAAACAAGGUCAAAAAGUGAUAUCAACACAUAAAAUUAUAAUAAAAAAUAAUCUACCGGACGAAGAUUGUACCUCGAAAUACGAGGAUAAAAUGCUACUGUAGCAUUUUGCAUAUCUGAACUGAAGGAAAUAUGCCCUACAGGCAAUAAUAAAGUUGUUAUUUAUAUUUCCUUAUAUCAUGAUAAAUGUUUAUUAUUCAUGCUAGAAUUGUAUUAACCGGAAACUUAUUACAUGUGUGAAUACAUAGACAAAAUGAGUGUCACUAGUAUGCCUCUACUUGACUAGCUCGUUAAUCAAAGAUGGUUAAGUUUCCUAGCCAUGGACAUGAGUUGUCAUUUGAUUAACGGGAUCACAUCAUUAGAGAAUGAUGUGAUUGACUUGACCCAUCCGUUAGCUUAGCACAAUGAUCGUUUAGUUUGUUGCUAUUACUUUCUUCAUAACUUAUACAUGUUCCUAUGACUAUGAGAUUAUGCAACCCCUGAAUAUCGGAGGAACAGUUAGUGUGCUAUCAAACGUCACAACGUAAUUGGGUGAUUAUAAAGAUGCUCUAUAGGUGUCUCCGAUGGUGUUUGUUGAGUUGGCAUAGAUCGAGAUUAGGAUUUGUCACUCCGAUUGUCAGAGAGGUAUCUCUGGGCCCUCUCGGUAAUGCACAUCACAAUAAGCCUUGCAAGCAAUGUGACUAAUGAGUUAGUUACAGGAUGAUGCAUUACGGAACGAGUAAAGAGACUUGCCGGUAACGAGAUUGAACUAGGUAUUGAGAUACCGACGAUCUAAUCUCGGGCAAGUAACAUACGGAUGACAAAGGGAACAACGUAUGUUGUUAUGCGGUUUGACCGAUAAAGAUCUUCGUAGAAUAUGUAGGAACCAAUAUGAGCAUCCAGGUUCCGCUAUUGGUUAUUGACCGGAGAUGAGUCUCGGUCAUGUCUACAUAGUUCUCGAACCCGUAGGGUCCGCACGCUUAAUGUUCGAUGACGAUCGGUAUUAUGAGUUUAUGUGUUACGAUGUACCGAAGGUUGUUUGGAGUCCCGGAUAUGAUCACGGACAUGACGAGGAGUCUCGAAAUGGUGGAGACAUAAAGAUCGAUACUUUGAAAGGCUAUGUUUGGACAUCGGAAUGGUUCCGGGUGAGUUCAGGCAUUUACCGGAGUAUUGGGGGGUUACCGGAACCCCCCGGGGAGUGUAUGGGCCUUAUUGGGCCUUAGUGGGAGAGAGGAGGAGGCGGCCAAGGUGGGCGCGCCCCCAAGCCCAAUCCGAAUAGGGGUGGGGGGACGGCCCCCCUUUCCUCCUCCCUCUCUCGUCCUUCCUUCCUCUCCUACUCCAACUAGGGAAGGGGGAAUCCUACUCCCACCGGGAGUAGGACUCCCCCCUUGGGUGCGGCAUGAGAGGGCCGGCCCUCCCCCUCCUCCACUCCUUUAUAUACGGGGGAGGGGGCACCCCUGGAAACACAAUUUGAUUGUUUAGCCGUGUGUAGUGCCCCCCUCCACAGAUUUCCAUCUCGGUCAUAUCGUUGCAGUGCUUAGGCGAAGCCCUGCGCCGGUAGCUUCAUCAUCACCGUCAUCACGCUGUGGUGCUGACGAAACUCUCCCUCGACCUCAGCUGGAUCUAGAGUUCAUGGGACGUCACCGAGCUGAACGUGUGCAUAUCGCGGAGGUGCCGUACCUUCGGUGCUAGGAUCGGUCGGAUCAUGAAGACAUACGACUGCAUCAACCGCGUUGUCAUAACGCUUCCGCUUACGGUCUAUGAGGGUACGUGGAAAACACUCUUCCCUCUUGUUGCUAUGCAUCACCUAGAUGGAUCUUGCGUGUGCGUAGGAAUUUUUUUGAAAUUACUGCGUUCCUCAACAAUGGUAUCAGAGCCAGGUCUAUGCGUAGAUGUUAUAUGCACGAGUAGAACAUAAAGAGUUGUGGGUGAUAAUAGUCAUAUUGCUUACCAGCAUGUCAUACUUUGAUUCGGCGGUACUGUUGGAUGAAGCGGCUCAGGCCGACAUUACGCGUACGCUUACGCAAGACUGGUUCUACCAAUGUGCUUCGCACACAGGUGGCUAGUGGGUGUCUGUUUCUCCAACUUUAGUUGAAUCGAGUGUGACUACGCCCGGUCCUUGUUGAAGGUUAAAACAACAAACUUGACAAAAAACCAUUGUGGUUUUGAUGCGUAGGUAAGAACGGUUCUUGCUAAGCCCGUAGCAGCCACGUAAAACUUGCAACAACAAAGUAGAGGACGUCUAACUUGUUUUUGCAGGGCAUGUUGUGAUGUGAUAUGGUCAAGACGUGAUUAUAUAAAUUGUUGUAUGAGAUGAUCAUGUUUUGUAACACAAUUAUCGGCAACUGGGAGGAGCCAUAUGGUUGUCACUUUAUUGUAUGAAAUGCAAUCGCCAUGUAAUUGCUUUACUUUAUCACUAAGCGAUAGCGAUAGUCGUAAAAGCAAUAGUUGGCGAGACGACAACGAUGCUUUGAUGGAGAUCAAGUUGUCAAGCCGGUGACGAUGGUGAUCAUGACGGUGCUUUGGAGAUGGAUAUCAAAGGCACAAGAUGAUGAUGGCCAUCUCAUAUCACUUAUAUUGAUUGCAUGUGAUGUUUAUCCUUUAUGCAUCUUAUUUUUCUUAGUUCGGUGGUAGCAUUAUAAGAUGAUCUCUCACUAAAUUUCAAGGUACAAGUGUUCUCCCUGAGUAUGCACCGUUGCGAAAGUUCGUCGUGCCGAGACACCACGUGAUGAUCGGGUGUGAUAAGCUCUACAUUCACAUACAACGGGUGCAAGCCAGUUUUGCACACGCAGAAUACUCGGGUUAAACUUGACGAGCCUAGCAUAUGCAGAUAUGGCCUCGGAACACUGAGACCGAAAGGUCGAGUGUGAAUCAUAUAGUAGAUAUGAUCAACAUAGUGAUGUUCACCAUUGAAAAGUACUCCAUCGCACGUGAUGACCGGACAUGGUUUAGUUGAUUUGGAUCACAUGAUCACUUAGAUGAUUAGAGGGGUGUCUAUCUAAGUGGGAGUUCUUAAGUAAUUUGAUUAAUUGAACUUUAAUUUAUCAUAAACUUAGUACCUGAUAGUAAUUUUGCAUGUCUAUGUUGUUGUAGAUAGAUAGCCCGUGAUGUUCUUCUGUUGAAUUUUAAUGCGUUCCUAGAGAAAGCUAAGUUGAAAGAUGAUGGUAGCAAUUACACGGACUGGGUCCGUAACUUGAGGAUUAUCCUCAUUGCUGCACAGAAGAAUUACAUCCUGGAAGCACCGCUAGGUGCCAAACCCGCUGCAGGAGCAACGCCAGAUGUUAUAAACGUCUGGCAGAGCAAAGCUGAUGACUACUCGAUAGUUCAGUGUGCCAUGCUUUACGGCUUAGAACCGGGACUUCAAUGACGUUUUGAACAUCAUGGAGCAUAUGAGAUGUUCCAGGAGUUGAAGUUAAUAUUUCAAGCAAAUGCCCGGAUUGAGAGAUAUGAAGUCUCCAAUAAGUUCUACAGCUCAAAAUGGAGGAGAAUGGUUCUGUCAGUGAACAUAUACUCAGAAUGUCUGGGUACCACAACCACUUGACUCAACUAGAAGUUAAUCUUCCUAAUGAUAGUGUCAUUGACAGAGUUCUUCAAUCACUGCCACCAAGCUACAAGAGCUUCGUGAUGAACUAUAAUAUGCAAGGGAUGGAUAAGACAAUUCUCGAGCUCUUCGCAAUGCUAAAGGCUGCGGAGGUAGAAAUCAAGAAAGAGCAUCAAGUGUUGAUGGUCAACAAGACCACUAGUUUCAAGAAAAAGGGUAAAGGGAAGAAGGGGAACUUCAAGAAGAACAACAAGCAAGUUGCUGCUCAAGUGAAGAAGCCCAAGUCUGGACGAGGUGACAAUGCGCGUGGGAAAUGGUUCCAAAGUCAAUGUGAUCGCCGUCGGCACGCUACCUCUACAUCUACCUUCGGGAUUAGUUUUAGACCUAAAUAAUUGUUAUUUGGUGCCAGCGUUGAGCAUGAACAUUAUAUCUGGAUCUUGUUUGACGCGAGACAGUUAUUCAUUUAAAUCAGAGAAUAAUGGUUGUUCUAUUUAUAUGAGUAAUAUCUUUUAUGGUCAUGCACCCUUCAUGAGUGGUCUAUUUUUACUAAAUCUUGAUAGUAGUGAUACACAUGUUCAUAGUAUUGAAGCCAAAAGAUAUAAGUUUAAUAACGAUACUGCAACUUAUUUGUGGCACUGCCCUUUAGGUCAUAUUGGUGUAAAGCGCAUGAAGAAACUCCAUGCUAAUGGGCUUUGGGAAUCACUUGAUUAUGAAAUCACUUGAUGCUUGCGAACCAUGCCUCAUGGGCAAGAUGACUAAGGCUCCGUUCUCCGGAACAAUGGAGCAAGCAACAGACUUGUUGGAAAUAAUACAUAUUGAUGUAUGCGGUCCGAUGAGUAUUAUGCUCGCGGCGGGUAUCGUUAUUUUCUUACCUUCAUAGAUGAUUUGAGCAGAUAUGGGUAUAUCUACUUGAUAAAACAUAAGUCUGAAACAUUUGAAAAGUUCAAAGAAUUUCAUAGUGAAGUGGAAAAUCAUCGUAACAAGAAAAUAAAGUUUCUAUGAUCUGAUCGUGGAGGAGAAUAUUUGAGUUACAAGUUUGGUCUUCAUUUGAAACAAUGCGGAAUAAUUUCGCAACUCACGCCAUCCGGAACACCACAGCGUAAUGGUGUGUCCGAACGUUGUAAUCAUACUUUAUUAGAUAUGGUGCGAUCUAUGAUGUCUCUUACUGAUUUACCGCUAUCGUUUUGGGGUUAUGCUUUAGAGACAGCUGCAUUCACAUUAAAUAGAGCACCAUCUAAAUUCUUUGAGAUGACACCUUAUGAACUGUGGUUUGGCAAGAAACCCAAGUUGUCAUUUCUUAAAGUUUGGGGCUGCGAUGCUUAUGUGAAAAAGCUUCAACCUGAUAAGCUCGACCCCAAAUCGGAGAAAUGUGUCUUCAUAGGAUACCCAAAGGAGACUGUUGGGUACACCUUCUAUCAUAGAUCCGAAGGCAAGAUAUUCGUUGCUAAGAAUGGAUCCUUUCUAGAGAAGGAGUUUCUCUCGAAAGAAGUGAGUGGGAGGAAAGUAGAACUUGAUUAGGUAACUGUACCUACUCCCUUAUUGGAAAGUAGUUCGUCACAAAAAUCUGUUUCAGUGAUUCCUACACCAGUAAGUGAGGAAGCUAAUAAUGAUGAUCAUGAAACUUCUGAUCAAGUUACUACCGAACCUCGUAGGUUAACCAGAGUAAGAUCCGCACCAGAGUGGUACGGUAAUCCUGUUCUGGAGGUCAUGUUAGUUGACAAUGACGAACCUACGAACUAUGAGGAAGCGAUGAGGAGCCCAGAUUCCGCAAAAUGGCUUGAGGCCAUGAAAUCUGAGAUGGGAUCCAUGUAUGAGAACAAAGUGUGGACUUUGGUUGACUUGCCCAUUGAUCGGCAAGCCAUAGAGAAUAAAUGGAUCUUCAAGAAGAAGACUGACGCUGACGGUAAUGUUACUGUCUACAAAGCUCGACUUAUUGCGAAAGGUUUACGACAAGUUCAAGGAGUUGACAACGAUGAGACCUUCUCACCCGUAGCGAUGCUUAAGUCCUGAAUCAUGUUAGCAAUUACCACAUUUUAUGAUUAUGAAAUUUGGCAAAUGGAUGUCAAAACCGCAUUCCUUAAUGGAUAUCUUAAAGAAGAGUUGUAUAUGAUGCAACCAGAAGGUUUUGUCGAUCCAAAAGGUGCUAACAAAUUGUGUAAGCUCCAGCGAUCCAUUUAUGGACUGGUGCAAGCAUCUCGGAGUUGGAAUAUACACUUUGAUGAGUUGAUCAAAGCAUAUAGUUUUAUACAGACUUGCGGUGAAGCCUGUAUUUACAAGAACGUGAGUGGGAGCACUACAGCCUUUCUGAUAAGUAUAUGUGAAUGACAUAUUGUUGAUCGGAAAUGAUGUAGAAUUUUCUGGAAAGCAUAAAGGAGUGUUUGAAAGGAGUUUUUCAAAGAAAGACCUCGGUGAAGCUGCUUACAUAUUAAGCAUCAAGAUCUAUAGAGAUAGAUCAAGAUGCUUGAUAAGAUUUUUUCAGUGAGUACAUACCUUGACAAGAUUUUGAAGUAGUUCAAAAUUGAACAAUCAAAGAAGGAGUUCUUGCCUGUGUUGUAAGGUGUGAAGUUGAGUAAAGACUCAAAACCAGACCACGGCAGAAAAUAGAAAGAGAAUGAAAAGUCAUUCCCUAUGCCUCAACCAUAGGUUCUAUAAAGUAUGCCAUGCUUUAUACCAGACCUAUUGUAUACCUUAGCAUGAUUUUGGCAAGGGAGUACAAUAGUGAUCUAGGAGUAGAUCACUGGACAGCGAUCCAAAUUAUCCUUAGAGGACUAAGGAAAUAUUUCUCGGUUAUGGAAUUGAUAAAGAGUUCAUCGUAAAGAGUUAUGUCGAUGCAAGCUUUGACACCGAUCUGGAGGUCAUGUUACUUGAAAAUGACGAACCUACGAACUACGAGGAAGCGAUGAUGAGCCCAGAUUCCGCAAAAUGGCUUGAGGCCAUGAAAUCUGAGAUGGGAUCCAUGUAUGAGAACAAAGUGUGGACUUUGGUUGACUUGCCCGUUGAUCGGCAAGCCAUAGAGAAUAAAUGGAUCUUCAAGAAGAAGACUGACGCUGACGGUAAUGUUACUGUCUACAAAGCUCGACUUGUUGCGAAAGGUUUUCGACAAGUUCAAGGAGUUGACUACGAUGAGACCUUCUCAGCCGUAGCGAUGCUUAAGUCCGUCUGAAUCAUGUUUGCAAUUGUCGCAUUUUAUGAUUAUGAAAUUUGGCAAAUGGAUGUCAAAAAUGCAUUCCUUAAUGGAUAUCUUAAAGAAGAGUUGUAUAUGAUGCAACCAGAAGGUUUUGUCGAUCCAAAAGGUGCUAACAAAUUGUGUAAGCUCCAGCGAUCCAUUUAUGGACUGGUGCAAGCAUCUCGGAGUUGGAAUAUACGCUUUGAUAGUGUGAUCAAAGCAUAUGGUUUUAUACAGACUUUUGGAGAAGUCUAUAUUUACAGGAAAGUGAGUGGGAGCUCUGUAGCAUUUCUGAUAUUAUAUGUGGAUGACAUAUUGUUGAUUGGAAAUGAUACUAAAUUUCCGAAUAGCAUAAAAGGAUACUUGAAUAAGAAUUUUUCAAUGAAAGACCUCGGUGAAGCUGCUUAUAUAUUAGGCAUCAAGAUCUAUAGAGAUAGAUCAAGACGCUUAAUUGGACUUUCACAAAGCACAUACCUUGAUAAAGUUUUGAAGAAGUUCAAAAUGGAUCAAGCAAAGAAAGGGUUCUUGCCUAUGUUACAAGGUGUGAAGUUGAGCCAGACUCAAUGCCCGACCACUGCAGAAGAUAGAGAGAAAAUGAAAGUCAUUCCCUAUGCUUCAGCCAUAGGAUCUAUCAUGUAUGCAAUGAUGUGUACCAGACCUGAUGUGUGCCUUUCUAUUAGUUUAGCAGGGAUGUACCAAAGUAAUCCAGGAGUGGAUCACUGGACGGCGGUCAAGAACAUCCUGAAAUACCUGAAAAGGACUAAGGAUAUGUUUCUCGUUUAUGGAGGUGACAAAGAGCUCGUCGUAAACUGUUACGUCGAUGCAAGCUUUGACACUGAUCUGGAUGACUCUAAGUCACAAACCGGAUAUGUAUUUUUAUUGAAUGGUGGAGCUGUCAGUUGGUGCAGUUCUAAGCAGAGCAUCGUGACGGGAUCUAUGUGUGAAGCGGAGUACAUAGUUGCUUCGAAAGCAACAAAUGAAGGAGUCUGGAUGAAGGAGUUCAUAUCCUAUCUAGGUGUCAUACCUAGUGCAUCGGGUCUAAUGAAAAUCUUUUGUGACAAUACUGAUGCAAUUGCCUUAGCAAAGGAAUCCGGAUUUCACAAGAGAACCAAGCACAUCAAGAGACGCUUCAAUUCCAUCCGCGAUCAAGUCAAGGAGGGAGACAUAGAGAUUUGCAAGAUACAUACGGAUCUGAAUGUUGCAGACCUGUUGACUAAGCCUCUCUCACGAGCAAAACAUGAUCAACACCAAGACUCCAUGGGUGUUAGGAUCAUUACUAUGUAAUCUAGAUUAUUGACUCUAGUGCAAGUGGGAGACUGAAGGAAAUAUGCCCUAGAGGCAAAAAUAAAGUUGUUAUUUAUAUUUCCUUAUAUAAUGAUAAAUGUUUAUUAUUCAUGCUAGAAUUGUAUUAACCGGAAACUUUGUACAUGUGUGAAUUCAUAGACAAAAUGAGUGUCACUAGUAUGCCUCUACUAGACUAGCUCGUUAAUCAAAGAUGGUUAAGUUUCCUAGCCAUAGACAUGAGUUGUCAUUUGAUUAACGGGAUCACAUCAUUAGAGAAUGAUGUGAUUGACUUGACCCAUCCGUUAGCUUAGCACAAUGAUCGUUUAGUUUGUUGCUAUUACUUUCUUCAUAACUUAUACAUGUUCCUAUGACUAUGAGAUUAUGCAACUCCCGAAUACCGGAGGAACACUUAGUGUGCUAUCAAACGUCCACAACGUGACUGGGUGAUUAUAAAGAUGCUCUAAAGGUGUCUCCGAUGGUGUUUGUUGAGUUGGCAUAGAUCGAGAUUAGGAUUUGUCACUCCGAUUGUCAGAGAGGUAUCUCUGGGCCCUCUCGGUAAUGCACAUCACAAUAAGCCUUGCAAGCAAUGUGACUAAUGAGUUAGUUACAGGAUGAUGCAUUACGGAACGAGUAAAGAGACUUGCCGGUAACGAGAUUGAACUAGGUAUUGAGAUACCGACGAUCUAAUCUCGGGCAAGUAACAUACGGAUGACAAAGGGAACAACGUAUGUUGUUAUGCGGUUUGACCGAUAAAGAUCUUUGUAGAAUAUGUAGGAACCAAUAUGAGCAUCCAGGUUCCGCUAUUGGUUAUUGACCAGAGAUGAGUCUCGGUCAUGUCUACAUAGUUCUCGAACCCGUAGGGUCCGCACGCUUAACGUUUGAUGACGAUCGGUAUUAUGAGUUUAUGUGUUUUGAUGUACCGAAGGUUGUUCGAGUCCUGGAUAUGAUCACGGACAUGACGAGAAGUCUCGAAAUGGUCGAGACAUAAAGAUCGAUAUAUUGGAAGGCUAUGUUUGGACAUCGGAAUGGUUCCGGGUGAGUUCGGGCAUUUACUGAAGUACCGGUGGGUUACCGGAACCCCCCGGGGUGUGUAUGGGCCUUAUUGGGCCUUAGUGGGAGAGAGGAGGAGGCGGCCAAGGUGGGGGCACGCCCCCCCCCAAGCCCAAUCCGAAUUGGGGUGGGGCCCGGCCCCCCUUUCCUUCUCCCUCUCUCGUCCUUCCUUCGUCUCCUACUCCAACUAGGGAAGGGGGAAUCCUACUCCCACCGGGAGUAGGGCUCCCCCCUUGGGCGCGCCAUGAGAGGACCGGCCCCCCUCCUCCACUCCUUUAUAUAGGAGGGAGGGGGCACCCCAUAAACACACAAGUUGAUUGUUUAGCCGUGUGCGGUGCCCCCCUCCAUAGAUUUCCACCUCGGUCAUGUCGUUGCAGUGCUUAGGCGAAGCCCUGCGCCGGUAGCUUCAUCAUCACCGUCAUCACGCCGUCGUGCUAACGAAACUCUCCCUCGACCUCCGCUGGAUCUAGAGUUCGUGGGACGUCACCGAGCUAAACGUGUGCAGAUCGCGGAGGUGCCGUACCUUCGGUGCUAGGAUCGGUCGGAUCGUGAAGACGUACGACUACAUCAACCGCGUUGUCAUAACGCUUCUGCUUACGGUCUACGAGGGUACGUGGACAACACUCUCCCCUCUCGUUGCUAUGCAUCACCUAGAUGGAUCUUGCGUGUGUGUAGAUUUUUUUUAAAUUACUGCGUUCCCCAACAUGAACUUUGACAAAUUUGCAGUAUGACUGAUUAUAAUUGAAGCACAGAAAAUUUAACUAAGAUUCCUAUGAACAUGGUGAUGCAAGUUUUGAAUACCUACACUCCAAAUUCACCGAAAAUGGUUGAACUAUGGAAGAAAACUGUGUGGGCCGAACUCACCGAAGCAUAUAUAGUAGGUAUGAUAUGGCAGCUCCAUAAGUAGGAAGCAUAAGAAGAUUCCUACCUGAACUAGCUCAUAUUUGUUGGAAGCAUGGAAAUCUGAAACAUAAUUUAAGGAUGAUUGCCGCCAACAUGGGUAUGCAAGUUUGCGUGAUCUAAAAUCCAAAUACACCUAAAUUUGUUGAUGAUUUAGUGUUCUACUCCCUCCAUUUUUAUAUACAAGGCCACUAUGUAAUAUAUGUUUUGCAUCUAUACAAGGCCAUCAACAGUAAUUGAGGCAAAAUUAAUGAUAUUUUCUCGUACUAGCAACCUGUUUAAUAGUUGCAUGCAUGCAGUCAUAAUGACAGUCAGCUACUUCCUCCACUCAGUUUUCUUGCAUGCAUGUGGGGUAUUAAUGAUCCUAGUAAACGAAAAGGAAAGUUGACUUUCAAAGUAGAAAUUAAAUUUUACAUUAGUACCUGUAAUUUGAGUUUGUGGCCUUGUAUAUAAAAAUGGAGGGAGUAAUACACAAGGUAUAGUUCGAAUUCACGGCCAACAACAUUCAAUAUUCAGUAGGAUAUGAACAUAUAUAGCAUGGAGUAUUGGGCAAAUUAUAUUAGAAAUCAACUUGCAUUGCAGAAAUAAAAACUCUCAAAUCAAGAAUAAUCCGAACAGAUGAGGGCGACACGGGGGACGAUUCGCACAAUCAUCGACCUCCUAUUCCGAGGAUAAACUGCAAAGAGGGUGGGGCCGCAGAAAAGGAGUAGCCUCUAUUCUUACUCCAGCAGCUGGCAACCAGUUGAUCCGCUGGGCUACCUGGUUAGGAAAGAAACGGGGUGGUGAUGGUGGUUGUGGCCACCUAAUGCCCGGGUGACGCAACGACGAACUGGACCUUGAGCCGCGUCGUGUGGUACGGUGCAAGGGAUUGCACCUGGGUGGCGUUGUCAUAGAUAACAGGGUGGUGCGAUGGAUGGAUAGAUCAUCGGUGAGGUGGAGCACAUGGGGUCGAUUCUGGGUGGCGUUCGCGACAGAGAGAACAUGGCGGCGCGGUAAUUCAUGAUCUCGAUGGCGAGGAGGGUUUGGAAGCACAAAGAGAUUUGGGGGAGGAGGAACGGGACAAGAGAUACAGCCAUACAGGGGAGGUGGAUGCAUCGAUUACAGGUGGUUAGUAUGGAAUUUCUGGCAGAUCAGGACCGUUGGAUGCAACACAAAUUGACGACACACGGUUGGUCUGAUGUUUUCCUUACAUCAGAGGUAUGAUAUUCAGAGUUUCCCUAUCUUCUUACGCAAACAUUCGAUAGUCAGGUUGAACAGAAAGGAGGGAAGGCAAUCCCCAUGUCUUACACCUUUUUGGCUCUAGAAAUAAGUGCCAGUAGUAUUCUUAUUAUAUUUUCUUGCGAAAAGGAACAAGAUAUAUUAUAAAAAUUUACAAGAAGUACAAAGCAUCUCCAAGCCCAACAUAAUAAAAGUUACACUGAGAUCACUGCACCACCAAACGACCGCUGCCUCCACCAGAACGCAUGCAACAUUCUCGCCACUCCCCUAUCGGAGUCGGGUUGACCGUGUUGAUGAUAGACAGGAAGUCUUGAUGCAUGUGCAAAUAAAGGAACAUCACCCUGGAGGUACAGUCGUCGCCGCUGAAGUCUUGAAUCGAUCUGAAGUGACUUGAGACCUUAUGUCACCGUUGCGAACGCGAAGCGAGAAACCCUAACCUUGCCACCCCGAGGUGACAGUAGGAAUCUUGCAUGGAGCAGAGGAAGACACUUAUCCUAUUCAAAUUCACACUGCCAGUGCCAUUAUAUACAUAGUUUUCUUAAUCCAAUCAUACCAAAUAGGUCCAAAACCACUCAUAAAAACAUGACACUCCAUGAGGAAAUUCCAAUUAACUCUUAAAAUCAAUUUAAGAACAAUGCCACCUUUCUUUUUUUCUCGAAUGCGCACAAGCAUGCGCAUCAUAUAUUAAAGAUAGAAAGGGGGUAAAGAGCCCCUAUACAGCGUUGUGGCAACCUCGCCCAUUCCACCUAGAUUACAAAAGCGGAUUACUCAUAAUCUAUCCACCGCGACAAACUACCAAAGAAUUCACCCAUAUCUCCUUUAAGAAGACCGGCUGUAGCCCACGUCCUGUCCUCCUCCAAGAUCCUGGCUCCGAUGCGUGUAAUUGAGGGCGACUCGCCAUCAAACACAAUACCAUUCCUAUGCUUCCAUAGCUCCCAAAGGACGAGCACUAAGAUCGUGCGGUGGUCUCGUAACCGCCCAUCCAUGGUGUACUUGUUCUGACACCAAGUCACCAAGGUGUCGACCGUGGUGGGCACCCACUCCGGCCUACCAAGGGCCGUGCAAACCUCGUGCCACACCGACCUAGCAAAAACACACCCCAACAAGAUAUGAUUGAUAGUCUCUUCACUUUGAUUGCAGAACGGACAUGAAUCCUGGUGCGGUAGCCUCUCCGAGCCAGCCCGUCAGAGGUCCAACAUCUGUUCCGCAAAGCCAACCAGGAGAAAAAGCGACAUCGUUGUGGUGCCCUCGACCUCCAAGUAAAAUCCGCUGUUGGACUGACCAUCCUUCCUACGAACUUGGCCGCAUAAGCCGAUCUAACAGAGAAAGCUCCAUUGCUCUCCCAAGCCCAAGAGAGUCUGUCUGGUGAGUCGGGCUGCAGUUGAAUGAUGGCCACCCGAUGCCAGAGGUUCACGUACUCGCGCAGCUCAUCCAAGUCGAGAUUUGGGUUAAUAUCCAAAGGCCAUGAGCCCUCCUGGAUAGCCAUACGCACAGACAGACUGGUACGCUUCCGAGGCGGCACCUUAGCACACACCUUCGGGGCGAGAUCCUGUAUCCUAGACCCGUCCAGCCAGCGGUCCUCCCAGAAGAAGGUACUAGAGCCGUCCCCUAGAGUUGAGUGUGCACCCGAGCGAAAGAGUUGUAGAGAUUCAGUCGGAACAGGGAUGUCGAACUCGUUUCAGGGCCUCAAGGCAUCAGCUCGGCGCAGCCAAGGCCACCUAGCCUGCAUGGCUAUAUUCAGCCAUCUCAAGUUUGGAACUCCCAAACCACCUGCCCAUUUGGGCGUGCACACAAUAUCCCACGCGACCGAGCACUGUCCUCCGUUAGCCUCCGCUUUUCCACACCAGAGGAAACCUCUGAUAAUUUUGUUCAUCGCUGUAAUUGUCUUAGCCGGCAGGUGCAGAGCUAUCAUUGCGUGAAUGAGAAUGGCACAAAGAACAGCUUGCACAAGCAGAAGUCUUCCACUCUUGGGCAUGGCGGAACCGCGCCAUGCGGGCAUGCCAACUUUCUUUUAAACUGGAGUGUGAUGUAAAAUCUAAUGCAGGGGCACUGUGGAUGUUCAUUUGCGAAAAGUCGUUGGCAAUGUUUCACAAACUUUGGAUUGGAAAACACAAAUAAAACCAAAUAAAAUACAGAUUAAAAAGAAAGGAUUGGCGGGCCACGAGCAUUUCGGCCCACCUAACCACUCUAACCCUAGGUAGGAAGAAUCCAUUCCAUCCUCACUCCACAGUCCACACACGCGCGCGCGCUCCGCUCGAAACCCUCGUGCCCACCGGCGGCGGCCAUGAACCCGGCGAUGGCGGCCGAGCUCCGGCGCCGCGAGAGUGAAUCGGUGCUCUUCUCCCGCCUGCUCUCCUUCGCCCACAGCGCCCUCCCCGACCCGCCCGUCUCCGCCGCCGCUCGCCUCUCCGCCCUCCUCCUCCCCCACGACGACCACAUCAGCCGCCUGCCCGACGCGCUCCUCCGCAACAUCGUCUCUCGCCUCCCCGUCAAGGACGCCGCGCGCACCGCCGCCCUCUCCAGCCGCUGGCGCGGGGUCUGGCGCUCCGCCCCGCUCGUCCUCGCCGACGCCCACCUCCUCCCCGACCUCAUCCCCGCCGUCACGCGCGCCGACGCACGCCGCGUCCCCUCCGUCGUGUCCCUCAUCCUCGCCGCGCACCCAGGCCCCUUCCGCUGCAUCCACCUCACCGUCAGCCACUUGGAGGAGUACCAGGGCCCGCUCGCGCGCUGGCUGGGGCUCCUCGCCGCCAAGGGCACCCAGGAGCUCGUCCUCGCCAACCGCCCGCCGCCGGUCGUCCUCCGGCUCCCCGCCGCCAUCUUCGGCAUUGACACACUCACCCGUCUCUACCUUGCACUCUGGAAGUUCCCCGACAUCCCCCGCACCGCCUACUUCCCCAACCUUCGCGAGCUCGGGCUCUGCACCGUCGUCAUCGAGAGCCGCCACCUGGACUCCAUCCUCGCCAGGAGCCCCGUGCUGGAGACCCUCUGCCUCCAGGGAAACAUGCUCAUGGAUCGCCUCACCAUCAACAGCAGAAGCAUUCGGUGUGUGUACGUCGUUGCCACCUCCGAUUUGGACAUCACCGUGGAGGAAGCCCCACAACUGCAGCGCCUCAUCGUCUGGGUAGCGUCCACCUGCAAAGGAGGCUCGCCGCGCAAGACGAUCAAGAUUGGCCGUGUCCAGGCACUGGGAUUGAUCGGCUACUUGGAGCCGGAAUUCCACACUCUGCAGGUCGGCGACACCACCAUCAAGGUCCAGUCACUGCCCUCAAGCUUCCGUUUUGUUUAGUGGUAUAUUGAUGUGAAUGAAUGUGUUGUGAAACAAUUGGGUACAAUGAUGCAAUUGCAGCCUUCGGCAAAGCCUAGUCCUUUCACCAUGCUACCAACCGUGAAGAUCCUUGGCUUGAAAGUGCGUUUUGGUGUCCGCAAUGAAGCCAAGAUGCUGCCUUGCUUCCUCAGAUGUUUUCCAAAGGUUGAGAGGCUGCACAUCGAGGUGAGCCGCCCUCAUUAUAGUAAUACUAUUGCUGCUGCUUACCGAUUGAACUCUAUCUCAAGUUUGCAUGGUUUGACCAACAAUUUACUACAGUCCAAGGAAACUAUUGAGAGCAGUAGCAAGAUCAACCUCAAGUUCUGGAAGGAGUCUGGCACCAUCGCGAGCAUCUGCUCAAGCGUUAAUCUGAUCAUCUUCCACAACUUCCGAGGAGACCAGUGCGAGCUUUGCUUCCUCAAGUUCAUCCUGGAGAGUGCACAAAUGCUGACAAAGCUGGUGGUCGUGUAUCGCAAAGGAACCUUCGCCUCGCUGGCUGAGGCGCGUUCCAAGGUGGACCCUCUGUUCGACGUGUCAUGGGCCAGUAAGUGCUGUUCUCUGCGGCUUGUCCAGAGCGCACUUGCUGAAGGCGAAGGCCUCAAGAUACUCAACUUCAAAAGAGGAUCAAACUUUUCUCUGAGCGACCCUCUUGCCUUCACCGGCCGAUGUUAGUUUCCUUCACCGGCCGAUGUUAGUUUCGAUGGUGGUUCUUCAUGAUCUCUUGUACUAGUGUGUACAGGAAAGGCAGUAAGUACCGUUUGGGAUCGUUAGCUUGGAAACGUGACAGCAGGGUUGUGUUUAAGUUACUAUUUCCCUUGCCUAUGCACAAGGCAGUUUCUCCAUGUUUAUUUGGUACAAAUGGUCUGAUUAUUGCUUGGAUGAUGUUAGUGCUGUCUCACCCUUCCAAAAAUUGCUUUGUGGAAAGUAAUGUGAAUCUUGU